AAUCAUAGAAUUGUAGAGUUGGAAGAGAUCCUGAGGGUCAUCAGUCCAACCCCCUGCAAUGCAGGAAUCUCAACUACAGUAUCAGUUACAAAUGGCCAUCCAACCUGUGCUUAAAAACCCCCAAGGAAGAAGAGUUCACCACUUUCUGAGGGAGUCUGUUCCACUGUCAAACAGGUCUUACUGUCUGAAAGUUCUUCCUGAUGUUUAGUCAGAAUCUCCUUUCUUCACUUGAAGCCAUUGGUUCGGGUCCUACCCUCUGGAACAGGAGAAAACAAACUUGCUCCAUCUUCCAUGUUACAGCCCUUGAGAUAUUUGAAGAUGGCUUCCAUAUCUCCUCUCAGUCUCCUCUAUAUCGGGCUAAACAUAUCCAGCACCCUCAACUGUUCAUCAUAAGGCUUGGUUUCCAGACCCUUUGAUCAUCUUGGUCUCCCUCCUCUGCACACAUUCCAGCUUUUCAAUAUUCUUAAAUGGGAGCACCCAAAACUGGACACAAUAUUCCAGGUGUGGUCUGACCAAGGCAGAAUAGAGUGGUACUAUUACUUCCUUUGAUCUGGACACUGUAUUUCCGUUGAUGCAGCCUAGAAUAGAAUUAGUUUUUUUGACUGCUGCAUCAGACUGUUGACUCAUAUUAAGCCUGUGGUCUACUAAGACUCCUAGAUCCUUUUCACAUGUACUACUGGCAAGCCAGGUGUCCCCCCAUCUUAUAUUUGUGCAACUGGUUUGCUCUGUCUAAGUGUAGAACCUUACAUUUGUCCCUAAUGAAUUUCAUUUUGUUCAUUUGGGUCCAGUUCUCCAUUCUGUUACGGUAAUCUUGAAUCCUGAUUCUGUCUUCUGCGGCACUACCUACCCCUCCCAGUUUGGUGUCAUCUGCAAAUUGGAUGGGCAUUCCCUCAAUUUCUUCGUCCUAGUCAUUUAAGAGUCAGCAAUGUUCUCAAGUUCUUAAGAGUGUUGUGGAGACAGGCUGCUUUGUGCAAACCUCUGCCUUUAUGUGCAAAAUGUUAUUUCCCCAUAUUGUUAUGAUAAUGAUCUCAUGGCAGUUCACAACAUAAAAAUACAAGAUAAAAAAACACAAAACACAUAAUAAAAACAAAACCCAGUAACAUCCCCUUCCCCUCAAUAGCUUCACUUCCCCAGAGUUGUCCCUUUUGAGUUCUUAAGAGUGCACGAAAUUGACCAGGGAGAUACAACCCCAUGUUCUACACUAUUUUCUGAGUUGCAGUCUUGCUGUGUGGGGUUUAUAUUAAGGUGGUGAUGUGCUGUGACUUGAUGGGGCACUGAGUUACACCAUAUCCUAUGUUUUGUCACAGUGAUAAUGGCAGAGUGGUUGCUGAUACAGGGUGGCUUUCCCUCCCAUUGAUGUCAAUGGGGCAAUGACUUCCCUGUUAUACAAAAAGUUAAUAAAUGUGUCUUUUGGUUCCAACCAAAGGCUUUGGUGGAAACUUAACUGGAAUGCUCUGUUUGAAGAAGAACUGUGUAAUGGGUUAUGGGCUUAAGGCUCUUUACAAGUCAUUGUCAGCUCAGAUGAAGGAGCUUUUGCUAAAAGUGGCCCAUGGCUGGGAACUUAUCCUGAGGAAGCUCUGUUUCAUACAACCAGGCAAUUGACCCAUGUGUUGGAGAGGAUACUUGUAUAUAGAUGUGGAUAGAGGUAUAAAAAAUAAAUAACUCAUUUCAUACCUAUUAAUGGUGGCAAGAGCAACUGUGGCAAAAUUCUUUGGAAGACAUUUGAUUUAGACAACUUAGAUUACUGGUAUUCAAAAGUCUAGCAAAUUGCUGUUCUAGAAAAGAUUUCCUACAAGCUGAAAGUGGCAAGAAGAUAUACUGCAGGAUACUGAUUCCUCCAGCCCCCCAGUAUGGCAUGAUUUUAUUUUAUUUAAAAAUGAAGAAGUCCUUGGCCAUAUGUUUAUUUCAAGGUGUGGAUUUUGUGAGAUCACCCAAACCCAAUUUUUGUGGAUAUAUGAAAUUACAAGCAAUUCUGGUAAUUCUGAUGGAUAUUGAUAUUGGAUUGUUCUGCAGGAUAAUUGAUAUAAUAUGCAAAAGAUGGAAAUUAUUUUGAUUCAACAUUGGUAAUUUAACAGCUGUCCAAUAAAUGAUUAGUUUUUGUGCUUAUUUCCUAUCUGUCCUUGUAGAUAAGGAUUACAUUUUCUUGGUGAGAGAAAAAAGUUAACACUCAUUGAUAAAGGAAUCUUUUUGAUAGUGGCUGGAUGACGCUGAGAAAAAUAAUGAUAAGCCAAGUCUAAUUUCAGCUACGUAGAGUUCAUUCAUGAUAAAAGUAUUUAUAGAAACCAAUUCUUUGUUUCUGUAAGAAAAAAAAAAGACCCCUAAAAUUAUAAUUUUUGAUGAAGAAUGAGAGCAGACAUUUCUGAGUCCAUCAUAAAUCCCAGAGCUGAUAGAAUACACAUUGAGAAUAUUACACACACACACACACACACACACACACACACUUCUGAACUUGCUGCCAGCACAAUAAUCUUAGAGUCAAAGAGUAAUCUAUCCCUAAGUGUCUUAAUAAUGAAAAUAGUUGUCUGAUAAGCAUAACACUGGAUGCCUAGUGCUAGAGUAAGGAAUAUGUUGAAAGGAUUUAAAUUAAAUUAGUUUUUUUUAAAAAAAAAGCUUAUCUUGAUUGACAUUGUUGAAUGAAGCUCUAUUUUAUGAUUUAAUGCUAACAAAAAUUUGUGGAAAGAAAGGCCCUCUUUAAGGAAAAGUAAAAGAAAACAAUUACCCCAGUGCAAAAAGCUAUUUAUUUAUUUAUUGUUUAGUAUAUUUAUUUGUCACUUAUUCUAAAAAUGACUCCAACUUACAAUGUGAAAACAAACUUUAAAACCAUGUAUAAGAACGAGAAUAAAGUAAGAACUUAAAAUGCUCAUCCAAAAUAUGUAUAAAAGAGCUGAUUCAGUUGAACCCAUCCUACUAAAAAUGAUGAGCAGAAGAAGAGUGUGCAAACAUACCUAAGUAAAGGUAAAGGGACCCCUGAUCGUUAGGUCCAGUUGUGGAUGACUCUGGAGUUGUGGCUCUCAUCUCGCUUUAUUGGCCAAGGGAGCCGGCGUACAGCUUCCAGGUCAUGUGGCCAGCAUGACUAAGCUGCUUCUGGCGAACCAGAACAGCACACAAAAACUCCGUUUACCUUCCCACUGGAGCGGUACCUAUUUAUCUACUUGCACUUUGGGCUUUCGAACUGCUAGGUUGCGGGAGCUGGGACCAAGCAAUGGGAGCUCACCCCGUCACGGGGAUUCGAACCACCGACCUUCUGAUUCGCAAGCCCUAGGCUCUGUGGUUUAACCCACAGCGCCACCCACAUGCCUUAAACAUACCUAAGUACCCUCCAAAUUAGGACCAAGACUGGGCCUUAAAAAUGUUUUUGUCUGGUGCCUAAAAGCAACGAAUGAUGAUGCCAGGUGUACCUCUUUGGGGAGAGCAUUCCACAAAUGAGGAGCCACCAUUGAGGCGGCUCCCCCUCCAAAACCCCCAUUCAAUAUCAUACUUAUAAAGGGACUCCAUUUAUAAAGAGAUUCCUGUGGGGUUCCACUGAUGGAUUCAUACAAGUAUCAUAACUGCAUGAGGACAUGAAUGCAUGUAGGGAAGGUGUGGAAUCUACAGCUGAUAUGCCCUCAUUUCCCUGACACAUUCAUGAUCCCCAUUUUGAAUGCUUAGAAGCAGCAAGGGUUACUUCCAUGAGAUCUGUUGAGCACCUUUCUAAGACAAUUCUAAAAGGUAAAAAAUUGUCAUUUUCUGACUAGUGGUCAUAAUGUAAAGUUACCAGAUUUUUUUUCAAUGAAUCCGGGGACACUUUUCAACUUCAAUGGAUUUUGUAUGGGGACUGAUUUGUAAAUCCAGGGACUAUCCCCGGGAAACGGGGAUGUCUGGUAACCUUAUCAUAAUGUGUUAUGCAAAAUCUCCCUUGUUACAGUAGCCAGCACUUAAUGUAGCCUGCAAGCCAAGGCUCACACACUUUUUUUAUUUGUUGCAUUUUUAUCUAAUCCUUUUAUCUAAGGUGCUCCAGGCGGCAUACAUGGUUCUUUCCCUCCUCAUUUAAUCCCUGCAACAAACCUGUGAGGUAGAUUUGGCUGAGAGACAGUGACUGGCCCAAGGUAAUACAGUGUGCUUCCAUAAUGGAAUGUACGGGUGUGGGACAUCCAUAUCCACAAGUUUGAAUCAGCCUCAGCCUGUGGGAGCAGAAAAGUAGGAUUUCCCCGCUCUACAUCCUUUAACAGUCCUUUGCCUUAGAGGGGCUGGGACCCAGUGGCAACUUUGAAAAUAUAUGUGCUGACAGAAUGCACUUAUUGUAUAUGGAAAAGGUAAUAAAUUCAGCCGGAAACAUUGUAUUAUACCUGCCAGGAGAAGGCUGUUGUUUUCAUGCCGUGCUUGGGAACUUCCAAGAGGCAUUGACUAUACACUGUUGGAAACAGAACACUGGACAACAGGGACUUUUGGUCUGAUAUAACAGGGCUCUUACAUUAUUAUACUGAGGUUAGUAUUAUAUAGUUUAUUUUCCCCAUAAUAUACUUUCAUUCAGAUUUUGGAUGCCAGUAAAGAACUGAACAAUUAAUCCACACCCUUCGAGCCUUCCAUUGGGAACUAUGGUUCCAGUCCAGCCAGUUAUAAAAAUCUGUUAUUCUGCCAGAGCAUAUUCUAGCUUGGUGUAUUUCAGAAAGAAUAUUGUAGAGCUGGACAAGGUGCAGAAAAGGGCAACCAAAAUGAUCGAUGAAAUAUAACACUGGGUUCAUUAAAGCUUUCUUUUAAAUGCAAAUAUAGGAGGAUGUAAUAGUGUAUAAAAUGAUUCAUAGUCUGGAGAAAAUGCACGGAGUGACGUUUUAUUUUCCUCUUUUGAUACUUGAAACUUGGAUCAUUUAGUUGGGAGAUUCAUGGCAGAAAUUCUUCAUACAGUGCAUAGUUAACUCAUGGAAUUAAUUGCCACAAGAUGUGAUUAAGGCUGGCAACUUGAAUGGCUAUCAAUGGCUGUUAGUGACAAUGGCUGUAUACUACAUCCAGGGAAGAACAGCAGGAGAGGACUAUUGUGCUCAUGUCCUGCUUGACAGCUUCCCAGAGGUAUGUGAUCGGCCUCUGUGGGAAACAGUAUGCUGGCCUAGAUGGGCCUUUGGUCUGGUCCAUCAGGUUUGUUUUUACAUUCAGUUCCUUAAUUACACUAUUAAAAAAGGGGAAGCUACUGGACUUCAGCUGCCAUAAGCCGCAGCCAGUAUUGUCAAUGAUGAUGGGCAUUGUAGUCCAACGACAUCUGGAGGGUACCAUGUUGCCUAGGUCUGCUACAAACAUUGCUUCACGAUGCAUCUUCUUUUCACUUACUCCUAUUCUAUCAUUGCACUGGAGUCUGCUUUUUAACCCAGCAGGUGACCCUUGAUUGCUGAUAUGAGUAUUUCAAGCCCAUUUUUCUUAAUUUAUGCUUUAACCAGGAAAAAGAAACCAUAGUAAAAAUACAGCUGCUCCCUCUUCUGACCAUAAUAAGAGGAAAUGGCCAAGUCAAAUAACAGCUGUCCCCUCCCCAGCAUUACAGUUAUGAAGGAAACUAUUGCCCUUAUAUUUUCCCUUACCUUGAAAUUGUAUUGGUGUUUCCUCCCUUUGCCACAGCACAACUCCUGUGCAGCAAAAAGUGAAGAAAAGCAGGGAGGAGAAUCUGCUAAGGAGAACUUGGGGUGAUAGGGUGGGCAUAUGGGGACACUUAUCAGACCAGGGCUCUUUCAUCCCCCACUUUAAUACCACUUUUCUGCAUUACUGUAUUCAAGGUGGUUUACAAACCCGUAGAAAUGGCAAAAUAUAGGACAAAAAUCACACUGCCACCCUAUAACAAAAACAAAACAAUAAUCCAUAUCACCUAAGAUAUUGCAAUUAUUGUGCAAGGUAAUAAAAUGUCAGCACACAAUCAAACAAAAUCACCUCCAUCAGUUACAAAUCAAUAAUUAAAAAGUGACCAAACAAUAUCUGCAAAAAUAUAACAGAUGAAAUGCCACAGAUCAUGAAGAAAGAAUAAGUGAGCGGCUGCGUUAAAGCUUUCCUUCACUGUCCUGUGGAACACUGUCCACCCACAGUUGGGUAUUCAUGCCUCUUGCCAUGACCUACCACCCAAGGACCUUGCCCUGUGCAGUAGAGGAUUCUGAAGAUGAAGUUUAGGCUAUUUUCUCCAGGAAGAACCACCAGUGCUUAUUCAGGACUCUCCUGGCUAGAGAAUACAGCCCUGCCACUAUCCUAUGACACUGGUGCAGUACUGCUGUCUCCUAAGUCUUGCAGAAAUCAAAGACUACAAAGUAAGGGGAGCACCCUUUAACCAGCUGGUUAACUCCUCUAUACUCCAGAUCUGGUGAGCUACAUAAAUGCUUCUGUUGACUAGCCCUCUGCAGAUACUGCCUUUUGGUGGCUGUCUUAGCAGGACACAUUGGAGCUGUCCAAGGUCCUGUAUGUGCUCUGCUUGACUCCAGCAUGGACACUUCCUGCUUCCCCCGUGAGCCUAAAGCAGGGGUCAGCAAACUUUUUCAGCAGGGGGCUGGUCCACUGUCCCUCAGACCUUGUGGGGGGCUGGACUAUAUUAUGAAAAAAAUAAAUGAAUGAAUUCCUAUGCCCCACAAAUAACCCAGAGAUGCAUUUUAAAUAAAAGUACACAUUCUACCCAUUUAAAAACGCCAGGCAGGCACCACAAAUAACCCAGAGAUGCAUUUUAAAUAAAAGGACACAUUCUACUCAUGUAAAAACACGCUGAUUCCUGGACUGUCCGUGGGCUGGAUUUAGAAGGCGAUUGGGCCAGAUCCGGCCCCCAGGCCUUAGUUUGCCUACCCAUGGCAUAAAGUGUCGCCAGAACUUUUGAGUUGACACUGCACAUCAUUUGCUUUCAUCUUAGGUGCAAGCAGCUCCAGAAUAAAUAGAAUAUUUGCAGGGUGGGAGAAGAAGGCAGAUGAGCUCAGCUUCAUGCCUACAAAUGUUUCUAUUUCUCCCCUCCCUGAGCAACCUUCUGGCAUGGAAAACUACCUUGUACCAGACCAGACAAUUUAUCCAUCUAGUGAAGUAUCUACUCUAGUUUGUAGUGGUUCCCCCAUGCUUAGCGGAGGAGACUGAGAGGUUAUAAUGAUAGCCAGCUUCAAAUAUCUCAAGGGCUGUCACAUGGAGGAUGGAAUAAGCUUUUCUCCUGCUUUGGAGGGUCAGAAUCAAACCAACAGCCUUAAUUGAAGAAACAAGUUUCUGACUAAACAUCAGGAAGAACCUUCUGAUAGUAAGAACUGUUCAACAGUGUUAUGGUCGUCAUUGGAGGCUUUUAAGCAGAGCUUGAAUGGCCAUCUGUCGUGGAUACUUUAGUUGAGAUUCCUGCAUUGCAGGGGUUGGACUCGAUGACUCUUGGGGUACCUUCCAACUCUAUGAUUCUGUCACUACUUUAUCAUAUUGCUGCCUUUUUCUCUCAUCUAGUUGCAGAGCUCAGGCUGUUGCCUCUUUGCUGGUUAUAUUUCAACUGACCCAAACCAUUUCUUUCCAGCUCCUUCUCCAGCAGUUGGGUUGUAGCUGGUGGCCACUUGACAUAAACAUUAAUCAGUGCUGAAAUGUAGCUAACAGAGGGAUGGUAGCUCAGUGGUAGAGCAUGUGCUUUGCAUGCAAAAGGUCCCAGGUUCAGUCUCUGGCCUCUCCCGUUUGCAGGAUCAGGUGGCAUAAAAUACCUUUCUCUUCUUGUUACCCUGGAGGCUCUGCCAGCCGAUGUAGACAGUACUGGACUAAAUAGACAAAUAGUCUAAGCUGGUAUAAGGCUGUUUUAUAGGUACAGGUAACUCACAAUGUACACACAUUCAUAUUUAUGUGCUUGGCAUUUAAUUUUUUUAAAAAAAAAGAGGUGGAAAGAGGGCAGGCUUUCUGGAAAAAAGACUUUGUCAAUCCCACUCGCUAUUAAACCCAAUGCAUUUUGACUAUAUGUGAUGUUGGCUUUAUGCACUAUCCCUGGAAUGUAAUCCCCUGAUGUCCUCAGCACACCCAGCCAAGGAGGACAAAUGGCCGAUAGUUUUAUUCUUUCUUGAAAAAAGCAUGCACUUCUAAGGUCCUAAGGUGCAUAGAAUACACAUGUACACAUGCUUCUGGUGAUGAUGUAGCUGGCAUUAACUUUCCUAGGCUUGUUCCCCGGCUGAACAGUUGGAGCAACAAUGGGACCCCACCCCACCCAUGCUUAGGUACCCUCAUCUGAUGGAGUGCAUGCAGGCAACCAGAGACUUCUCCUACAUGGAAGCUGCCACUGUGCUUGCCUCCUCAAGCCGUCCUGGUCCUAGGAGACAGUGGUACAGAGGAUGGCAGGGACUUGACUGUUGGAAGAAUGCCCGGGAAGGCCACCACCUUUCCAAGGGGCAUCUCUGCGGUCUCACCCUCUGGCUGUAAAUCUUCCUCAAGACCAGAGAGACCGGUGAUAAGCGACCCCUCCCUCCUGAGAGGAGCACGCUCGUCUUCUGGAAUCUCAUAGCAGAAGAAAGAGUCAAUCAGUAGCUCUAAAACUACUUUAUUAACAGUCUAUAUACAAAUAAUCCAUCAGUAUGUCUGUGCUCUCUCAGCACCAGUACAGAACAGCAUCUUACACAGAAGUGAAACUAACUUGCAUCAGUGCUAAGACUUCCUGUCUCAUGCUCUCUCAGACACUCACAUGAUAUAAACAGCAUAGUGCUACUUGCUGAGCAGCACAGGUAGAUAAAAAUCCUAACAUUGAUCAGCCUUCCCCUCACCUGAACAGCCUCUUCCUCAGCUUCUAACACAUCCUGCUCCACCUCCCCUAUGUCAGAUCGCUCAGACUCUUCCCCUUCCUCCAGCCUAGCUCCUACCUUGUUGUGGCACAAAACCUCGUAAAUCACUGGUCCCUCUGCUUCCACCACACACUUGUCAGAGCCCUGCCAGUCCCUCACACUUUGUAAGUUGAGAGUUGCCUGUAAUGCUCAUUGAAGCAAGCAACUUGUCACUAGCUUCCAUUAAAGAAGCAUCUUUAGCUAUUAAACUAACCAAUAACUUAGAGAAAGGGGCAUCUCACUUUGCAGAGCCAUAACAGUAUAGAGGAUAGAUAAACAUGGGGAAACUAUUUAGAAUGUUGAGCAAGGCAGACCAUUGGUUUGAUCCAACAUAGGGUUUUCAUGCAUGAGGGAUGGGGAGCCUAUGGCUCUCCAGAUGUUGCUAGAGUCCAUCAUUCCUGACCACUGACCCUGCUGAAUAGGACUGAUAGAAUCAUAGAACUGUAGAGUUGGAAGCAAUCCCAAGGGUCAUCUAGUCCAACCCCCUACAAUGCAGGAUUCUCAACUAAAGCAUGCACUGCAGAUUUCCAUCUGACUUCUGCUUAGAAACCUCCAGUGAAGGAGACUCCACCACCUUCCGAGGGAGUCUGUUCAACUGUCAGACAGUUUUUAUCAUCAGAGUUCUUCCUGAUGUUUAGUCAAAAUCUACUUUCUUGUAACCAGUGGUCUGGGUCUUACCCUCUGGAACAGGAGAAAACAAGCUUGCUCUUUCUAUUAUAUCUUGUCUCAGUCUCCUCUUUUCUAGGCUAAACAUAUCCAGCUCCCUCAACCGUUCCUCAUAAGGCUUGGUUUCCAGAUCCUUGAUUAUCUUGGUCACUGUCCUCUGCACACAUUCCUGCUUGUCAAUAUCCUUCUUAAAUUGUGGCACCCAGAACUGGGCACAGUACUUCAGGUGUGGACUGCUGAAGGCAGAAUAGAGCGGUUGGAGAAUAGGAGUUGGAGUAUGAAGAAUUUUGUCUAGUCCUGGUCCUUACUUAAAGGAAGCUACUUUACCUUGCCACUUGCAAAAACCAAGAAACAUUGAGGCCACCUGGUUUACUGGUACAACAUAUGAUGCAUAUGUACAACAUAUGUAUUGGUACAACUAUAUGAUGCCGCUGUUUUGUUGCAUAUUCAUUCUGAUUUGUUUGCACAGAUGUUGUAUGAUAUUUUCUGAUCUUGCCCUUAUUCCACACUUUCCAGUACAUUUCUCCAUCACCUUCCUCGUCACAAAAAUUAGAUUUGCAACACUGCUAAAUCCACUUUAAUUGCACAACCUAAAUUAGUUGGUAUGUGACUGAAUCAUUACCACAAAAUGGUGACAUUUUAUAAGCAGCAAUUUUGAAAGCCCCCCCCCAACAAAUACUUACACUUAAACACCUACUUUUGAAAAUGUUUGGUCAGAUAAAUUAUGGUGCCAUACAUUAAGGACAAUGAGAGGUGCAGUGUCUAUCAUGGCAAUGCUAAAACAGAAUUUCUUGCUGGGGAAUGCAAAAAGCUCACUAAGUCAGAGUCACUGUCACCAUGAACAGAUGAAAAUGAGGUGCUUCCUGUAGAAGUCUCUUUUUAAUUUCUAUAAUGGGCAUAUCCAACUGAGGCCCUUCUUCCGGGCUCUUGUUAUUUACAUUUCAGAAUUUGAUUAGGUGCACUGGAGAAGGGGUUAGCAUAAGAAGCAGUGGAAGUUGGAAGGUGUAACGAGAGGGCAACUAAUAAAACAGUGGAUUAAAGGCCAGUUCUUGGAUGCUUUUCGGUAUUGCAUCAGCCAAGGAUCUGACUGUAAAAUACUUGCUGCUCAAGAAAACUUGUUUGUUGAAUACUGGACCAGUCUACACAAACAUCACAUUAAAUGGAAAAUCUGGACCAUAUAACUUCAGACUGCAAGUGGUAGGGUUGCAUGUCUGAACACUCCUACAUGGGAAAGGGAGAAAAACUCAUCUGUACACAGAAGAUUAACAGCCCCUUUCAGACAUGCAAUGAAUAUGUGUCAGAAGGAGGCCAGAUUCUGCUUCCAAUCUCCACUUGUUCAUUUGAAGGUCUGCAUAAAGCUAACAUGAAUCCCGUUAUUUCCACACUUUUCCAAUAACUACCCCCUCUGGGGGAAGGACUGUAGCUCAGUAGUAGAGCAUUUUCUUUGCAUGCAGGAGGCUGCAGGUUCUAUCCCUUGGAUCUCCAAGAAGGGCUGGGAAAGACUGUUGUCUGAAACCCUAUAGAACUGCUGCCACUCAAUGUAGAUAAUAUCUACCUGUCAAAGCCCCUUGUGCAAUGCUUCGCAAGUGCCUGACAGCCACCUGGUUGUCAGGUGUUUGAGAACUACCAAGUGUAAGGCGCUUUGCUACCAAGUGCUGAGCAUAGGGCCAACAAGCUGCUUUCUGCAGUUCUGUCUGUGUGACCACACAGUCAGUCCAGGAGACUUCAAGUCACUACCGAUCAGCUGAUAAGAAGUGACUUCAGCACUGAUUUCUGCAGGGUUUGUGCAAUUGAGUUCUCCAUGGGGGAAUUCAGUUGCACAGCUAAUUGAACAGGCUUUCUGCAGCAAUUGGCUGUGCAGUUGAAUUCCCUUUAGGGAACUUGGUCACACAACUGAUCCACUUGCCUAGGUAUCUGCCGUAUAGUUGACAUCAUAUGUAACAGGUGGGUUUGGGGAAAACAGUCUCCUUGCAGGACAAACUGGGACCCAUGCUGGGCCAAACUUGGCCCAUGGUCCAGAGGUAUCUUGUAACCUAUUGUCCACCAUCUGCAGUUUUGAUAACUUCUUAUACUAAAGGUAAAGGUAAAGGUACCCCUGCCCGUACGGGCCAGUCUUGACAGACUCUAGGGUUGUGCGCUCAUCUCACUCUAUAGGCCGGGAGCCAGCGCUGUCUGGAGACAUUUCUGGGUCACGUGGCCAGCGUGACAAGCUGCAUCUGGUGAGCCAGCGCAGCACACAGAACCCCGUUUACCUUCCCGCUAGUAAGCAGUCCCUAUUUAUCUACUUGCACCCGAGGGUGCUUUCGAACUGCUAGGUUGGCAGGCGCUGGGACCGAACGACGGGAGCGCACCCCGCCGCGGGGAUUCGAACCGCCGACCUUUCGAUCGGCAAGUCCUAGGCGCUGAGGCUUUAACCCACGGCACUGUUGGUUUCUAUUUCCCUCACUGAGCAGCAACUGCAGUCACAAGACAUUGUUUUGCAUUCCACAGUCAGAGGUACUGUUGGAGUUUCUCACGGGAAAGGGAGACUGGAUGUGACGUACACUGGUUUCCUGUUUUUUCACUGUGGGAUUCUCUCCGAGCUGAGAGAGGAGAGAGGAUGCAUUUUUCUGCUCCUGCAGAGGCAAGAUGUCUUUCUGUAAUAUACCAGCUUUGAACUGUAAAUAAAGCUAUAUGGAGUAUGGAGCACGUAUUCUCAUCCUUCCGCUGGGCACCAGAGACUCUGCUUUAAAUCAACACGUGGUUAUGGACUCCAGAGGUCGAAUCGGAGUGCCGGCAAAGGAUCGGAAUGCAGAGGAACGGAUCGGAAAGGAAUCUGCUCUGCGCGUAGAAGUGAUUGAUGAGGUAUGUGCUACUGCUCCGGGCAGCCUGCCAGCUUCAAGAUAAUGGCUUUAUGGCUGGACUUUGAACUUUUAAAGCCGGUUUUGCAAAUAGGCAAAAGGCUCCCAGGCACAAGUCACUAUGCUGGGGAAAUCGAAGUAACUUUUAAGUGUGCCUUUGUAAUGAAGCAGCUGCAGCAGUGACGCAGCAAGAUUUAAAGCAGCAUAGAUAUGACGCUGAAGGCUAAUGCCAGAGUCAUGAUGGCCCUUCAGGAUGCUUGUGGGAUUCCUAAGCUCAACAAGAAAAAUUACAGCGACUGGGUUCAGUAUGCAGAGGCAAUUCUGCGGAAAGAGGGUUUGUUUGAGGUGAUUACAGGAACCCCCCCAGUUCCAGUUACAGAUGCAUGGGAAGCUAAGGAUUCCAAAGCAAGAGGAACUCUUACAUUGAUAGUAUCCCCAGAAGAGCUCUGUCUAUUGCGUGAUAAGACCUCAGCCAGAGAAAUUUGGGACGCUCUGAGAGAGGCCCACUUAAGGACAGAAGCUGGAUCCACUAUGUUUUAUUUUAACAAGCUGCAUAAUAUGGCUCUUGCUGAAGGUGGAGAUGUGCGUUUACAUCUGAUGGAGAUGCAAAAUCUGAGACAUGAGCUGCAACAGAGAGGACUCAACUUUCCAGAGGCUGUGUAUUCUUUCAUGACACUACAAUCUUUGGGUUCAGGUUGGGAGUCUGUUGCAACCCAGAUUGCUGUGCAACCAACUGCUCAGCUGACAGUGGACUUUGUUACUGCCGUGAUUUUAAAUGAAGCAGAUCGCCGGGGUGCUGGCUGCAUGGGCAAGGGGGAGUCUUCACAGACGUCAUCCCAUAGUGCAGUGGAACCACCAGAUGGCGCCAAAGCUUUCAAGGCAGUGAAAUGCUACUCGUGUGGACGUCUAGGCCAUAUGAAGAGGGAAUGCAGACAUCCCAGGGCCAAGACAGAGCAGCGCAGCGAAAGCUCAUCGCGCGGAAAAGGCCGAGGCAAAGGCAAAGGUCCGGUGUCUAGGACAACGCAGCACAAGGCUAUGGUUUCACGCUUCACUCCAAAGGUUGCAGAGGUCCAGAAGACGUCUAGAUCUUUCUUCGUUGUUGAUUCAGCGGCGACCCACCACAUGUGCAACGAUAAGAAACUGUUUGUGUCUUUUACACCGCAGGAAGGUGCGAUUCACCAGGCGGAUGAUCACACUAUUCCCAGUAAAGGCUACGGAACUGUUGUUCUUCACAGUUUGGACUUAUCGAUACAGAAUGUGCUUUACGUGCCAGACGCCAAACAUAAUCUGCUCAGCGUUGGACAGCUGAAUGAGCGGAACAUUGACGUUUCCUUCAAGAACAAGAAGUGCAUCAUCACAAAGAAAAAUGAUUAUGUAUUGCAUGCAGAAUAUGUUGAUCAUUUGUUUGUUUUGUAUUAUGAUGAUGUGGUGCAGGAUGACACUUGUUGCAUUGCAGGUUCUAACAAAAGUUUGCAUGCAGAAUGUAUUCACGAUUUUCAUCGCAAAUUUGGUCAUUUGCAUUUUGAGGCAGUAUCUAAAAUGCCUGCCUUGGUUGAAGGUAUGACUAUUAAACCCUGCAGGUACCACAUGAAGUGCAAAGCAUGCGCAGCAAACAAGGUGAAAAUGGCUGCGAAAGGUAAGGUGUCUAGUAGGAAAGCUACAGAACCAUACCAGGUUGUUCAUGCUGAUUUGGUUGGACCACUUGCGCCCUCUUUGGGUGCAAAUAGAUACUUCAUGGUUCUCAUUGAUGCAUUUUCUAGAUAUAUUUUUGUGUACAAUCUCAAGCAGAAAUCGGAGGCUUUUCCUAGGUUCAAGGAAUUCUGUGCUUGGUUGGAAAAUGUGCAUGGUAAGAAGAUAAAAACUCUUUUCAGUGAUCGCGGGGGGGAAUUCACUUCUCAGCAGUUUGAAGCUUUUCUGACUGAGAAAGGAAUUCAACACGAUUUGUCUAGUCCUCGCUCGCCAUGGCAGAAUGGACUUGCGGAACGGGCAAAUCAGACAUUGCUUCAAGGAUUAAAAACCUUGCUGCAUGAUGCCAAUCUUCCAGAGAGUUAUUGGGCCGAAUCUCUCUCGUGUUUUGUUUACAGUUACAAUCGCAGGUUAUCUUCAGCGAUUGGAUGUACCCCCUAUGAGAAGAUGUUUGGCAAGAAGCCAUACAUCAAACACAUGAAGAUUUUUGGUUCUGACAUGUGGGUUCACUCACCACAAAACUCCAAGUUAGACAAGCGUGGAUUGCAUGGUAUCUUUCUAGGUUAUCAGAAAGGGUCUUACAGAAUAAUGAUGACUGACUCUAAGACAAUUAAGCUCACGAGAAGUGUUGAGUACAAUGCAAAGUGGGGGGAAUGUGGGAAUUUUCCAAUGUUAUCCUGAUGACGGUGAUGAGACUGAGGAUAGUCAAAAGCAACCACAACAGCCCACACCCACUGAUGAAGGUCCUGAGUCUGAAUCUGAAACUGAAUCGGGUGAUUCAGAGGAUUUCGAGAGUGCGAAAGCCUCUAUGCGACCCUCUGAAAGCUCUGGUCAAGAAUUGGAGGAACCAUUGUUCACAAUAGGUCGUUUUUCUCCUAAGAAGGAAGAGGAGAGUGUUGAAGACUUAAGGCUAAUUCGUAGGUCACAGAGAGCCACAAAAGGCAAACCUCCAAAGAGAUUUGCUGAUGAGUUUGCUAAGAUAGCAGUAACAGCUGUUAAAAGCUCCAAGAAGGUAUUUGAACCUUCAAGUUUCCAAGAAAUCCAGGGUUUGGAUUCAAAGGAAGCUGAGCCAUGGUUAAAUGCCAUGAAGGCUGAGCUUGAUUCCUUAGAAAGGAACAAAACAUGGCAGCUAGUUCCAGUAGUUCCAGGAAUGAAACUGCUUGGAAGCAAAUGGGUCUUCAAAGCGAAGACAGAUCAAAAUGGCAAGAUAGUCAGACACAAAGCCAGAUUGGUAGCCAGAGGUUUUGCACAGGUACCAGGUGAAGACUAUCACGAGACCUAUUCACCCACAGUGAGAUAUGAAAGCAUUAGGCUUAUGCUCAAGCUAGCUGCAGAGGAAAAUCUACACAUUAGUCACCAUGAUAUUAAUACAGCUUUUCUGUACGGAUCUCUAGAUGAAUCACUUUAUAUGCUUCCACCUGAUGGCGUACAGGUAAAACAGGGAUUUGUUUGUGCUCUGAAGAAAUCCCUUUAUGGUCUCAAACAAAGUGCACGGUGUUGGCACACAAAACUCACUGAAGUAUUGUUUUCUCUAGGUUUUCAGCAAGGGAAAGCUGAUCCAUGUGUAUUUGUCAAAGAGGAGGGGCAAAAGAAACUGUACUGUUUGUUUUAUGUUGAUGAUUUAUUAUUCUUUUGGAAAGAUGUUGCAAUGUACAAUAGCGCCCUAGCUCAACUGAAAGAGCACUUUGACAUGAAAGAUCUUGGUGAGGUAAACAACUACCUAUCUCUGGAAAUAGAGAGAGAUCAAGAUGGUAACAUUCUAGUACACCAGUCACGGAAAAUUGCUGAUGUGUUAAGCAAACUAAAUCUGAUGGAUGCUAACCCUGUAGACACACCGAUGACAACAGGUUAUCAGGUAGAUGACACUGAAGAAGCAUUUUCUGACACUACACUGUACAGGAGUGUGCUAGGCAAGCUAAACUUCAUUGCCAGAUGUUCAAGACCAGACAUUGCUGUUAGCUGUAAUUUGCUAAGCAGACAAGUCAACAAUCCUAGUGUCAAGGAUUGGAAAGCUCUGAAACGCAUAGCGCGGUAUUUGAAAGGCACUAUGCAUUACAGACUGAGAUUUAACAAUCAGAAGUCUGGUGGUCUUGAGAUAUUUGCAGAUGCAAGUUUUGGAAGUGAUGCUAUAGACAGGAAAAGUACGUCUGGAGUUUGCUAUAUGUACAAUCAGAGUCUGUUUGAUUGGUCAUGCAAGAAGCAAACAACAGUUAGCUUAAGUACUUGUGAAGCCGAACUGAAUGCACUGUCUUAUUCACUUAAGGAUUGUGAAUGGUUAGUACAAUUGUGCAAAGAUAUGAAAAUUCCUGUCAAAUGUCCAGUCCAGGUUUACCAGGACAACAAAGCGUGUUUGGCUUUGCUGAAGUCUGAAGGUUGUAAGCAAAGCACAAAGCACUUGCAAUUAAAGUUGCAGCAUGCUAGGGAAUGUAUUCAGAAGGGACUCGUAACGGUGUCCUAUAUGCCAGGUAAUGAAAUUCCUGCUGAUGUAUUGUCCAAGAUUGUAUCAAGGGAUCAACACUGUACCUAUGUGCAGAAGUUGGGUUUGUACUGAUAUUGUACGAACACGCUGCCCAGUGAUGUUCACAGAAAGGGGGAGGAUGUUGGUUUCUAUUUCCCUCACUGAGCAGCAACUGCAGUCACAAGACAUUGUUUUGCAUUCCACAGUCAGAGGUACUGUUGGAGUUUCUCACGGGAAAGGAGACUGGAUGUGACGUCCACUGGUUUCCUGUUUUUCACUGUGGGAUUCUCUCCGAGCUGAGAGAGGAGAGAGGAUGCAUUUUUCUGCUCCUGCAGAGGCAAGAUGUCUUUCUGUAAUAUACCAGCUUUGAACUGUAAAUAAAGCUAUAUGGAGUAUGGAGCACGUAUUCUCAUCCUUCCGCUGGGCACCAGAGACUCUGCUUUAAAUCAACAGGCACCACCCGCGUCCCCACAACUUCUUAUACUAAAAAAACCUCUUUUUUUUACAUUAAUUAUUUUUAGUAUAACUUCUUAUACUAAAAAUAAUUAAUGUUAAAAAAAGAGUUUCCAAAUUAAGCAAGGAUGCGUUUUUAACAUUGAUAUUAAAGAUGUUUUCUUGAUGAAUUGAAUUGGUUAAUUUGGGGGUUCCUAAUUUCUUAAGGGCCAGGGAUACAUUUCAAAAUCUAAUAGACUAUUGUGGGCACCACAAAAUAUCCAUUUUACAGAGGGAAAAUUGCUGGUACUCAUAAAUCCCUUACAAAAGUAAAUAAAAACAGACAACAAAGCAAGCAACACACUCUGAAAACAGGCAGCCACCCCCCUAAUUCUUAAAAAAAUAAAUUGGGAUAGGGUCUUGCCAGCCACUGUGAGUGUGUCUGAGUGUUGUUGUGCCCAUAGGUACUAUUCUGGGUACCCCAGAAUUAACUGAUUGAUUAAAGGUUGCAGCCCUUAGGGGAAAAAAGAAAAGAAAUAUACUGAGUUUCUGUUUCUCUGAGAGUAAUAUAGAGUGGAGGGAAGAGAGCAGAGUGGGGUGGACUGAAAAUAUGUCAACUCCUUGACUGGAUCCUGCCCUUUUAUUCCGAGUAGUUACACUGUCAAGAAGGUAUUUUGCUGAAUUGCCUCUUUCUGCAGGAACACCACGCAACAGUUACUUCUGAGUGGCUUUAUAGGGGAUUUUCACCCACACCUUAUAAUAAACCGAGCGUGCAGAUAACAUAUCUUUUUGUGCUUUAAAGUGCUUGGAUGAUAACUGUGAAAAAUUAUCUCACGAAGGUUACCAAGCGGUACCUGUGGCCAUUUUCUCAUGACCCCUGUGAGAUAAAGUUUACUGCCUUAGAUCAUGAUGCAUUGUCAAAUAACAGGUUUAGCUUGUCUGGCCAACAAGAAGUAAUUGAGGAGUGUUAUAGCUUUACAAUCCUUGUUCCAAGGAAUUGGGAGCAUCUGAGCUGUUAGACCUGAACAAAAUAGGUCAAGGCUGAGAGAAUAAAGUUUUCUCUAUUUGUUCCCCUUUUCUUUUACUCCCAAGUUAUUUCCUUUCAUAUGUGAAACUAUUUCAUGAUGAUCCUUGAAAAUCUUACAGAAAAACCUUGAAUGUUUCUCUCUCUCUCUCUCAAAAGACCAUUUAAAAAAUGAAUUACCAUGCCUGUAUUAUUAAUGUUCACAGUUUCCUACAUUUACAGAUGUUCUGUGAGAGCCCUCUCACACACUUACACAUACACAAAAAUAAGCCAAAGAUUGCAUCUUCUGUCUUGUAAAAAUGAUGACUGGUGACUGAUAACACUCUCUUCUGGAGUUUUAUACCACAACCAAGCAAACAUGAUGAGGAAUGUUUGGUUUCUUAUGGGUAAACCCCGCAAUUUGCCCCCAGUGGUGGAGCAUCUGCUUUGUCAUGCAGUGUUACGCAGGUUCAAUCCCUGGCAUCUCCAGGAAGGGCUGGGAAUAUUCCUACCUGAAACCCUAGAGAUGUUUUUAGUUAGACAUACAAAUGGUCUUUGGGUGGAUAGUUUCAUUAUAACAUUUUGUGGUCCUGGACUUAUUUGCAUCAUGAGUAAGGAGUUUAUUAUGCUUCCAGUUGCUGCUCUGUUGCUGUUUGGUAGCCAAUGAAAGUCACGCUGUACCAGUGGACUGGAGUGUUGCCACUAUCAUCCUGGAUGCAAGAGACAGUGCUACAGUUCAUCCACUGGUGAAUCCAUUUUUGUGUGAACACUGCUUGGACAAUUAAAAAAAAUAUGCUUCCUGCAGAGUUGUUCCGAUCCCCACCCUCUAAUCUGGCUUGUGCAAAACCUGUCUGUCUUUCAUCUAUAAUCACACUUAUAGGUUGAGAAGCAAUGAUUUAAGAGAUCUCAUAUUAGGGGUGCAGCCAAUAUGUCGGAAGAGCUUAUAUUUGGAUCAGUAUGGUGUAUAUCAGGCAGGCAGAGCCUAGAAGCAGUUUGCAGGUGGAGCCUGGAGAUUUUAGGCAAGUCUGUAAGCCUGUCAGGGAAUAUAUAUAAUAUGUUCUCGAAGCUACAAACAUGAGUCUGACCAAACUGCGGGAGGCAGUGGAAGACAGGAGUGCCUAGUGUGCUCUGGUCCAUGGGGUCACGAAGAGUCAAACAUGACUAAACGACUAAACAACAACAACAAUGUCUAGAGGUUUUGCCAGGUUAGAAAUGAAGCUCAGCUCUCUGUUCAUCUUAGGCACAGAUGGGGAACCUGUGGCCCUCCACAUGUCAUGGGACUCCAGCUCCCAUCUACCCCAGGCAGAAUGGCUAAUGGUCAGGAUGAAGGGAGUUGUAGUCCAACAACAACAUGGAUACCCAACCCUGCUCUAAGGUUUAGGGCUAGCUUGCCCCAAUGCCCCCCUCCCCAUCCUUGUACCUUGCUUUUGGGGCAGCUAGCCCCAAAGGGGGAAGCAAGCAAACACAGAAGAGAAAUUGCCCCUCUCAUUGAAGAAUUAAUGUGUACCUCUAUUGUACAAAUUGUUCAUGAUUGCUGUAACUAUUUUCUUGCAGCUACUCAGCUAUGAUUCCAGCAUCAUUUUCUUUCUUUUCCACUGUGUUAAGGGUUGGGUUAUUUAAACUUACCAUCAAACAGAAUCAGAAUCAAAGUGAGCUAAUUUUUCUGAAAUACUAAUCAUUUUAAGGCUAUUGAACUAAAUAUAGAGACAGUUCAUUAAAUCAUUAAAACUGCCUGCAAUAAUCCUCACAAAGUCAUUAUAGUAGUAUUCCCUAGCCGGAGAGGUAGAUUUGCCUUAAGCACAGUUUAAUCAAAUUAGAUAGCAGGCCUAUGUCAUGGGGUUUCUCCUAUUGAUAUUCAUUAAAAAUACAUGAUUUAUCACUAAUCUAUGUAAGGUAUAUCCCGAUUCUGCCAAAUUAAUUUUGUAAGUGUUGGGGCGGGGAGUGAGGGAAUAGGUAAGGAAAACAUUAUAGUCUAUUGUUAUAGUGCUGUUUUAAAAUGGAGGCACGAUCGCAUUUACAUUUUGCAGACUGUAUCAUUUUACAACAUUUUGGCACUUGCUUGCUUUCCUUCCCUUUCUCAUUUUAGUUAAGCACUUGCACAACCAGCUACUAUAUCCUUUAGGUCAGUGGUGGCCAAACUCGGCCCUCCAGAUGUUUUGAAACUACAACUCCCAUCAUCCCUAGUGGUCAGGGAUGAUGGGAAUUGUAGUCGAGUUUGGCCACCACUGCUUUAGGUCACUCGCCCCCAACUUUCAAUUUACCGCGAUCCCUUUCUGCACUGACUUUCCUGCUAUAGAAACUGUGUACACUGCUGGCAAUUCUGGCACAAGUAUUUGAGCACAUGGUCAGCUCACUCAGAACAUUUCCAAAUAAAAGGAGCUGGUUUCAGAUAAGGAAAAAACCUCUGUGUAGCACCCAAAUAGUCACCACCAGUCCAUGUAGACAAUAUUGGGUGAGGUGGACAAAUUACCUGACCUGGUUUAAGACAGCUUCAUAUGUUCAUAUGCUUCCCAUGCUCUCAAUUUUUAGUGACCAAGUUUUGGGGGCCUCCCCAUUGCCUGAUGAAAAUGGAAAGUGUCCUUGCACAUACCCAUUGCUCACCUCUUCUCUCUAGCUUAUCCACUUUGAUCCCCAUAUGAUGCACUCUAAUGAGUGCAUUGGCUUUGGCUCACAAAUGCUUAUGCCACAACAAUACACUUUUAGUUUUCAGGGUGCCACAAGAGUGUGGUGUGAAAAUUGUGCACUCCUGGCUAGUAGAUGUAUACAGAAGUUAGCAAAUCAUCUGGGAAACAUUUUUUCCCCAUGCAGAAGACUUGAAAAUUGCUGGGGGGUCUCACCAAACCACAUAGUACAUCUUUGUUAGAAUCAUACAAUAAAAUUGUGGAGUUGAAAGGGACACUGAGCAUCAUAUAGUCCAACCCCCUGUGAUGCAGGAAUCUCAAAACGUAUUCAUAAUGCAUUAGUAGACUGUACCAGUUCUGUAAAGUAGACCUGCAGCUUACAAAGGGCUUACGUUCCGAGGAUAGUACAUAAAGCUAAAAUUGCAUAUUAUGAAAACCACAAUAGGGCCUAGACUAGAGCAUUGUUAGUUUGUUCAAUAUUGCAGUCCUGGUCAAAAUACCCUUGAUCUCUGGUGACGAAAAAACCAAAACAUGAUCAAACACAGGGUUAUGUCCUCAUAUUUUUGAUGGUUCCUCAAGCUUUCCUUGGACCAUUUGAAUGUUUCUCAUGAACCAACAGUGGUUGGCAGACCACAGUUUGAAAACCUCUAUAUCUACCAGUCAUUAGUCAUUAUCCACACUACUGUGCCACUUGCUUCUGUCCGCAAGUCUCUCCUGCUGGAUCAUAACACUGAAAGGACUUCAAAGGUCAUCUAACACAACUCGCCACCCACAACUACAACAUUCCUGAUUGGUGGUUGUCUAGCCGUUGCUUAAAAACUUCUAAUGUAGGAGAGUCCACCACCUUGUGAGUUACUCUGUUCCACUGUUAAGCAGGGUGUGGCUGUUUAAGAAAGGAAACUAACUUCCAGAUGUGAAAAAUAUUUUAAAACAUGCAUUCCCUCUCUUACAACUAUUCUUUUCCCCCUUUCAUUCCUGUAGUGGUGAAAUUAGCUCAUUAUUAGUGAAAUUUGUUGGUCUGUGCCCAUGUUAAUGUCAGAGGGUGGGUGAGGGUGGGAAGCGAUUGGAAUAUUUAGUUCAGACCAAGGUCUCGUGAUAUGAGGAGCUUUUUAUUAAAUCUGAAAAAUUUAAUAAGAGGCUUUUCAUACCAGAGCUUAGACCAUCAGAAAGCUUGAUCUCUGCAGGCUGCCAUCUUGUGUUGCAGAAUUGAAGGUGUUUCCUUCCCACACAUGCACACACACUUUAAGGGCCAAAUCUGCUGCUAGUGUCAUUGCAGUGACCUCAGUAGAUUUAACAACACUGGGGAAAAGUUCAACAGAAUUAUAUGAGCAAACCAGCUUUAUAGCUGCAGCCCCCCCACAGUUGGAAAAAUAAUUUCAUACAUGCAAACAGAUGGCAUCCUGAUGCUUGCUAAGCAGCAAAAAGAUAUUAUGGCAGGGAUGUGAAAUACUGCACUAAAAUUUGUAAGAUUCUUAGUGAAACAUUUCUCACACUUUUCUUUCUCACUCCCCCCCACCCCUGGCCAGGUUCAGAUUAAUUUUGCAUUUGCAAAUGUGUUCUUACAACUUCAUUUGGAAAAGAAAAAAGGCAUUGACUAUUUCUAUAGGCACACCUCGAAAUCCAAGCUGGAAAAGUCUACAAAUGUUUUCUGUAUUUCUCCUGCCCUGUACAUACACAAUGAAUCAAAAUAAUAUUCACCUUGGAUGCAGACAAUUUAUGUUAAUUCGCUCUAGCACAGUGGAUGCCUGGUUUUCCAUUGUAGUGUCAUAGGAAGCUGCCUCAUAACAGGUCAAACUACAGUAUUUGUUCAUCUAUCUCAGUUCAUCUAGCUAAGCCUCUCUCCAGGGUCUUAGCCAAAGAUGCCUGGGAUGAAACCUGCAACUUUCUGCAUACAAAGCUUAUGUUCUACCACUGAGCUACGGCACAUCCCAGGAACUUUUUCUAUAUCAUCAUUUCCUGAAGUACCCCAGCCACACAUCCGUACAGAGUAGGGCACAAGGCUACCCCAACUUUCCCUAGGUUUCUAAUUUGGGAUAGCUGAUCUUCUGCCUUGCAAGAGUGCCUGUUCUUCACCUCUAUGGCUUCUCUGCUUGUACAUUUCAUACAUGCCAUAAGUCUGGAAAACCAAACUUGCAAACACAUCUCACUGUUUGAGGAAAUGACAGUGGGCAUCCAUCCACAGGCAGCUUAACAUACUUAGAUAACUGUCCAAAGGCAUUCAUUACAACUGCUGCUGACUUUUUAAACAAAAUACCACAAUAUUUCAUUUUCUUUUCACAAAUAGGAAAUUAAUUGCAUACUCUUGCAGCCAGAGCAGAUAUAAUUCGUUAUGUAUUGUUAAGGUUGUCUGUGAUAAAUUUAUCAAGCUUGCAUGAAAACUACACUGAAAUCACAAUGGAUCCAUCUUAAUUAAGGCUCUUUAAGUGACAGAUACACCUGUCCUGAAAUCAGGAUGGAGGUGAGUAGAUGGGGACGAGGAAAAUAACAGUGCAUUCCAAAAAUGUAGCUGUUCUUUAAAAGAAAAGAAAACCUCUUUGAGUAUAUUGCAUGUACACGGCAAAUGGCAACACUGAAAUUCAUGAUGCUGGCUUACUCAUGUUCAUUAAUUUCAGUGGGUUUAUGCGGAGUAAACCUUAGUUGAAUACCAUUCAUAAUUAACAAUAAAUGUACAACCUUCAUAAUCCAUACAUCAUAAAAUGGUAGAAUUCUAGACAGAUGGCUGUAGGCUUUCGUAUUAUACAAAUUGUUUCUGCAUUAUAAUUCCAGCUGGAUAUAACUGAUUAAUUUGUAUAUCCCAAUAGGAUCAAUUUAAGAAUUGUUAUCUAUUUUACCUUAGCAGUUUCAAAACUUAAAUGUAUAUUGGUGCAAAUAAUUCUCCAUUAAUAUUUUACUCUAUUUUAUUUUAGUUUCCCUAGAGAACGCAAUCAAUCAUUAAUGUAUUUUUUUUCAUUCAUUCAGUUUACAGACUCUUCAAUAGAAUAGCUCUCUGAGAGAUUUACAGGCUUAAAAAAAUUAUCAGAUCCAAUAUUUAAAAUACAACUAUUCAAGAAUAUGACGUAGCAUUUCUCCAGCUUAAAAUUAUUAGUAAAUACGUACUAUCUUUUCUCCUAUUGAAAAUAGUACAUGUGUCCCCCAAAUCAGAUUGGAACCAUAGUGGGGGAAAGGGUUAAAGCCCCCUCUCUCCGUGCCAUAGUCCCAGGACUGAGCUACAAUAGUAAACAAACAAAUAAACAAAACACAUUAUAAAAGCAUUCUUCUUCUUUGGCGAUCGCUCGUAGCUGAGUAAGAUUGUCUUCCAUAAACAUGGUUUUAACAAUGAGUCCGUAAGAGACUGUGGAGGCCAAUUCUGGAUCCACACGUCCUUCCAUAGUGGGGGCAUUGGUUUCCAGGCAGGAGUUUAUCAUGGUGUGGAUUUGCCAAGUGUGCCUUCCUCUUAGCACAUUUCUCCCUUGCGUCCUGAGUUCGAGUGUCUUCAAAGCCCAUGACACCUUUGGUAAAGGCUGUUCUCCAACUGGAGCGCUCACAGGCCAGUGUUUCCCAGUUGUCAGUGUUUAUACUACAUUUUUAAAGAUUUGCCUUGAGACAGUCUUUAAACCUCUUUUGUUGACCACCAGCAUUACGCUUUCCAUUUUUAAGUUCGAAUAGAGUAGUUGCUUUGGAAGAUGAUCAUCAGGCAUCCGCACAACAUGACCAGUCCAACGAAGUUGAUGUUGAAGAAUCAUUGCUUCAACACUGGUGAUCUUUGCUUCUUCCAGUACACUGAUAUUAGUUCGCCUGUCUUCCCAAGUGAUGUGUAAAAAUUUUUGGAGACACUGUUGAUGGAAUGUUUCGAGGAGUUGGAGAUGGCGUUUAUAAGUGGUCCAUGUUUCACAAGCAUACAGUAAAGUUGGUAGUACAAUAGCUUUGUAAACAAGCAUUUUGAUUUCCCUGCGAAUUUCCCGGUCCUCAAACACUCCACUUCAAUCAGGAGAAAGCUGCACUCGCAGAGCUCAGACAAUGCUGGGUUUGGCAUCAGUGUUGGCCCUUGUGGAAAGAUAACUGCCUAGGUAGGAGAAGUGAUCUGCAUUUUCCAACGUUACGCCAUUGAGUUGGAUUUGUGGUGCUGCAGAGGGGUUAUUUUGUACUUAAUGGUGCAGCACUUUGGUCUUUUGGAUGUUGAGUGAUAGGCCAAGCUUUUCGUAAGCUUCUGCAAAGAUAUUUAGGAUGGUUUGGAGGUCAUCCUCUGAGUGUGCGCUCACUACGUUGUCAUCAGCAUACUGAAGCUCUACGACGGAAGUUACGGUAACCCUACUCUUUGCUUUCAGCCUGCUCAGAUUGAAGAGCUUUCCAUCUGUUUGAUAUAUGAUUUCUACUCCAGUGGGGAGUUUCCCUUCAACAAAGUGUAGGAUCAUGACAAUGAAAAUAAUGAAUAGAGUUGGGACAAUAGCACAACCUUGUUUAACACAUGAUCCCACUAUGAAUGGUUCACUUUGAGAGCCAUUGUUAUCUGCGAUUGUUGCUGUCAUAUUAUCAUGGAGGAGCGGAAUGAUGUUUACAAAUUUAUCUGGGCAGCCAAUUUUCAGAAGGACAGUCCCCAGGGCAUUACGAUUUACAGUGUCGAAAGCCUUAGUCAGGUCAAUAAAUGCCAUAUACAGGGGUUGGUUUUGCUCUCUGCAUUUUUCUUGAAGCUGUCGAGCGGUGAAAAUCAUGUCCACUGUCCCCCUAGAAGGCCGAAAACCAUUUUGGGAUUCAGGAAGGGUCACCUCGGAUAUUGUUAAGAGACGGUUUGAGAUCCUUGCAAGAAUUUUGCUGGCCACAGCUAAUAGAGAGAUCCCUCGAUAGUUUCCACAAUCAGUUCUGUCACCUUUUUUAAAGAGAUUGAUAAUUUUGGCAUCCCUAAAGUCUGCUGGGAUCUCUUCUCUUUCCCAGAUUUUUUUGAUGAGCUUGUGAAGUUGUUGUUGUGUAAGUUCAAUUCCGUCCACUUUGAAGACUUUGGCAGGUAUCCCAUCAGGUCCACUGGCUUUGUUGUUUUUCAUUUGGUUAAUAGCUGUACACAACUCUCCCAGAUUUGGAGAUACAGCAAGCUCAUCUCUAACUUGUUUUUGUGGAAUUUGUGAGAGGACCUCAGCAACUACGGGGGGGGUUGUGGUUAAGGAGAUGUUGGUAAUGUUCUUUCCAGCACAUUGCAAUAGCUUCUUUAUCUUUUAGAAGUGUGAUAGCAUCCGCUGAGCGUAGGGGGCAUAUGCCAUGAUUUAUUGGUCCAUAGAUGGUCUUUGUGGCUUUAAAGAAACUCUGUGCAUCAUGAGUGUCAGCUAAGUGCUGGAUCUCUUGAGCUUUUUUUAUCCACCAGUAUAAAAACAUUAUAACACUGUGACACCAGAUGGAGCUGUAGAGCUGAAAUCGGAACUCUAUGAAAAUUUCCAUUGUGAGCUUUCAAACAGUUUUCCCCCAGAACAUUUCCAGAGCGUUUUUUAUAGCUGUGUAGAUGCAGCCCCAAUUUGACUCUCCUCCUACCAGGCUAGCCAUUUGCUAAAAACAAGCAACCAUACAAUAGUAUGUAAUAACAUGAAUAAUGUGACAUCUAGUUUGGCCCAAAUUUAGGUAGAUGAUCUCUAAAAUGAAACAAAUUUCAUCACAACUGGCCUCCAAAUAAUCCCUUUUGGAGAGCUUUUGAGCGGGCACAUUAGCUUUGUUGAUUUCUAUGGGAGCCCCAAGCACCUUCCCUAUUGAUCACUGAUGCUCAAGGAAACAGUAGAGCAGUAGCCAAUCUAAGAACUCCAUCAAAUCCAUUGGCUACUUUGUGAUGUUAUAGAAUGUUUGUUUAUAGUCUACCUUCUGAGAUUACCUUGCCCAGUGAUAUCUCCCCACCCAAAUUCUUGAGCUACCAGACAGCCUGCAAACCAAAAUGAAGGGAAGGGUCAAGGAUGCAAAAGACAGGUGGGUAAAUCUGUUAGGAUAUUUCCGUUCCACCUUAAAAGGGAGCAGGCUUUUUGAGUCACAGAGUCUGCGCAUUUCCUGUUCACAGGAUGUUUAUGUUUCCUAUUGCUUUCGUCUCUCUCUGUGUCUGGAGACACUGAUGCAGGCAGUCAUGUUUUUCUUUGUUCUGACCAACGCUGAAUAAACUUGUAAAUAAUGCUCUCCUGCGUGCAACUUCUGCUGUGAAUUAUCUGCUGAUAGAGUGUGCAUGAGCUCUGGAAUGUGGCAAGCUAUUUCUAGAAACUCGUGUCACUAAUUGCUGAUACUGUAUCUACGGGAGAUCAAUGGACGUCUGCAGCCGGCGUGGGGGCCAUGAUGGGCUUUAUCUCCCUGGCAGUAUCCCAACAAAAUCAUCACAAAGAACCUAAUGACAACCCACCCAUGUUUCACCUCCCAUCAAUCCCAGCCAGCAUGGCCAAUGGGCAGGGAUGAUAUGAGUUGUAGUUAAGCAACAUUUGGAGGGCCAGUUUCUCAACCCCUAGGCUACAGGUCUCUAAAAUUAUUUUUGCUCAGAACUCCUGUGCCUGAUUAGAGUUUUUAAAACAUUAGAGGCCUUUUUAAACUCCUCUGUCCUCUAGAAGAUUAUCAUUCCCACCUUCUUCCUCUAUUUUUUUUGCGCUCCCUGCUUUAUGGGAGAUACAGGCUACCAGCUCUCUGCCUUAAGUUAAAAUAAGUCAUCAGCUGUCUUUCUGUUUAGUAGUUUCAUGUUCUGACCACAGAAACAGCCUGGGGGGAUUCUACUCUCUCUCUCUCUUCCGCUCAUUUGUCAGCCUAGUAGCUACAGUUGUGACACUAAUGCUCUUGGAGGCAUGCCCUGUUUGUCAACAGCAAAAAAGAGAGCCCUGGAAGCCAAACAAACAGUAAAUGUAUGUGUUUUAAGGAGCAAUGUUUUCUUGGGAGUGUUAAUGGUGGCAGGAAAGUGAGCAAGCCAGGCACUCGGCUCAUCUGCAAGCCAAAAGGCCAUGCAGAGUUCUAUGCCUGCAAUAGGGCUUCUUUCCAUCACAUAGAAUGAAAUUGAUUUAUCUAUUUUAUCUUGCUUUUUGAAAUCUGUCUAAUAUCAAAGCAGCACGUGCUGGAAGGUUUUGGUUUUUACAGCCCUAUUGGGUGGGCAACCAAUUUUCUGUUGAGGGCCACGCUCCUUUGGGGUAAUCUGUUCCAGGUCACAUGCUGGCUGUGGCAGGUACGGAAGUGAACCCAUUUUUCCUCUUCUUUUUGCCACCUCUUUUCUCUCCCACUCUCUUUCUUUCUGCCACCCCAUUACCAUUUUCCUCCCUUUUAUCUGGCAAUCCCUUCUCUCUUCUCUCUGCCCAGUGGGCUUGCCAGAGGUCUGCUCAGAUCACUUGCACUGGGCUUUUGAAAUUAAAUUGAGGGCCACAGGACUACAUCCAUACAAACCUCCUUGGAUCUGCCUCACAGGUUCUUUUUGCAGGCCUGCCUGUAAAAUCAGUGGUUGGUGGGCAUGAAAGACAGGGCUUUCUCAGUGGUGACCCCCCUGGUUGUGGAACUCCCCACCGAGCUGCAUAGUGAUCCCAACACUGCAACCUUUUAAACAGGCUUUAAAAACCUACCUGUUUGGGGUUGCCUUCUCUUGUAAUCUUCUAGUGCUGCUGAAAUUGAGAAUGUUGAGCUGAUUUGAAAUGUUUUAUUUGUCAGAGACAAAGUCCAACAAACCCAGCACUUUAACAAAGUAGUCCUGCUCAGGGACUUAUUUGCAUUUUGAUCACACCACUGAUCUCUAUAUACAUACAAGGGAACCAUGUGUAUGCAGUCUACAUUUGGGAUCAUGUACAGUUGAUCUAGGGCCCUCCAUUUUCUAGGACAAAGGACUGUGCGUUCAGGCAUAUACAUAGGUUCUGUGCAAAUUCCACCCCUAAAUGCAUGGAAGCCAGGGGGUGGGGCGGGCGUGGUGCAGAAGAUGGCAUCCUAAUCAUGCCACACAAAUAUAUGUUUAUUUGAACUCCUUCAUAGAGCUGUUGCUAAAGGCUCUUCACCACUGUUUUCACACUACAUUAAUUUACUUUACAACAGCAGGUCUGGCAGCAAUGUGUGGCAUUCAUGGGCAGCUGUUGAAGCUCCAACACCCUGAUAGGGCCAGGGGCAGAUUUUGAUUUUUCAGAUUUCAGCAGUGACCUGUGCACUCCCCUGCUUCUUGCCUUCAAAUCUGCUCAAUUCAGUGCGUCAUAGUUGUGGCACCCUGGAGCACCUCCUAGACUUGGUACCUAGUGCGGCGAAGCAGCUUGCACUGCCCUAAAUCCACCUCCGAUAGGGCCCACCUAGAACCCUCUUUAAGCCUUCUUUUCCCCAAUUCUCCAAUCAGCAUCAGGUGAUUAAGGUCACUUCCAAACAACCUGUUUAUUAAGAAUUCACCCUGAUUUGUUUGUGCAGCCUGAAGGGAGGUUAGAUGAACAUUCAUUCUUCUUUUCAUUUAGGGAGGUUAUACAAAGUUGCAUCAAUCUAUUUUUUAUAGUGCAGUUUUCAGUGCACGUUCUCUGUUACUUUCCUUUUUGCAGAAAGUCUGAUUUUGUGGGGCAGCCAUUGUAGUGCAUGAGCGCCAAAUCAACUGUCAUUGUGCAACCUGAUUUUGCCAGAUGUGAUUGAAUGCUACCCACAAAUAGUGACUGUCUGGAAGUGCCCUGGGUUAGGAAACUGCCAUUACAAUUUCCCACAAUGCCUGGGUAGCCAACGUGGUGCCCUCCAGAGGUUGUGAACGCCACCAGCCACCCGUGUAGCAAAUUGUCACUGAGCUGUAGUUCAACAAUUUCCUGAGGGCACCACGUUGGCUACCCAUGACCCAGAAUGUAUGGUUGCCAUAUGUCUGGAAUUUCUCAGAUGUAUACAGAAUACUUUAGUCAGCAGCAGUGUCCAGGCAGAAAUCGGCAACAACAACUUUUGUGUCCAAAUUUUCACUGUUUGGGAUAUGGCAACCCUACAGAAUGAUGGUAUUUGGGGGGGGGGCAUUGCUGGAAAUUUAAAUGGCAGGAACAUAGGAAGCUACUUUAUACUGAGUCAGACCAUUGUCCAUCUAGCUCAGUAUUGUCUACACUGACUGUCAGCAGUUCUCCAGGAUUUUUGACAGGAGUCACUUCUGGCUGUACCUGUGGAUGCUGGGGUUUGAAUUUGGUACCUUCUCCAUGCAAAGCAUAUGCUCUGCCAAUGAGCUAUAGUCCUUCCUUAAUCUACUAUUUUGGGUGACUCUGAAAGCUGGUAUUAUAAGAGGGAGGGGAAUUCUUAAUGUUUUAAUGCAGAUUGUAUGUUUAUAACCUUCUGCCAGUGAAACUUAUGCUGUUUGCUUACAGUUGCGUGAAAGCAGUUUUAUUAACAUUUAUCAGGUUUGAACUGUGGCUGUAAAAAUGAAUGUCAGAGUGAACACCUGACUUCCAAGACCCAGUAUGACUUAAUGAAUCAUUUUUUAUGUCUAAUGAAGUAACCUGUACUCUUUCUGGUAUAAUGUUUUUGUUCCCUUGAUGAGUCUAAAAAUGGCAGGGAACAUAUUUCAAGUUUCUUUGUGUCUGUUGAAGUUUACAUGGGGGGGGUGGAGGGAACAGCAGGUGGGGGGCUCCACAAGCUAUCUGAGGAAUGUGUCUUUCUCUUUCUUAGUGGUUUUGUCCCCUCUCUGUCUGACACGGCAGGCAUGCUGAACAGGAGUGGCAUGCGAAUCGAUCGGCAGGCAAUCAGUGACACGGCGGCUGGCCAGAGCCAAACUCCAUGCCAUCGAUCGGCUCCAAAUCAAUUUGCACACUGCAUUCUCCGCUCAGGUUACCUGCCAUUUCAGGCAUGGGGAAGAACAGUGAAGUGAGAAGGAAAUUGCACCCAAGUAUUUUGGGACCUUGGUCCGUAACCUCAAAGGUUGCACACCGCUGACCUUUCCUUGUUUAUAUGUCUGUGCCUACGCUCUGUCAGAAAGUAUGAGAUGGAUCUGUUUUGGUACGUGGUGGAAGGCUAGAUUAUUCUGCAAGCUCCCUGUAUAGCAAAACCAUUUGUGAAUGUUAGCUUUAGAAUCCAUUGCUUGCAUUCUGAAAUGGUACAAUCCAGGACAGCUCACAGUAUGAUAGCUAUUUAUUUUGUGGUCUAGGUAUCUGGUCAGGCCCCUCUUUUCCAAACUACAGUGGUGCCUCGCAAGACGGAAUUAAUCCAUUCCGCGAGUCUCUUCGUCUUGCGGUUUUUUCGUCUUGCGAAGCACGGCUAUUAGCGGCUUAGCGGCUUAACGGCUAUUAGCGGCUUAGCGGCUAUUAACGGCUUAGCGGCUUAGCGGCUUUAAGAAAAAGGAAACAAACUCGCAAGAACUCGCAAGACGUUUCGUCUUGCGAAGCAAGCCCAUAGGGAAAUUCGUCUUGCGGAACGACUCAAAAAACGCAAAACCCUUUCGUCUAGCGAGUUUUUCGUCUUGCGAGGCAUUCGUCUUGCGGGGCACCACUGUAGAUAUUGUUACAUUCUUUGCAUCCUGCCCUCUUUCCAAGUUGCUCAGGGCAGUCCACGUGGUUUCUGUUUCCCCACCCAUUGCAUCCUCAUAACAACCCUGUGAGAUAGGGUUGAAAGACAGUGACUACAAGCUCAGGGCUAGGCUUUUGCAGAAUUGAUUUUGCAAAUUAAAAGUGAGAUAUGAAAGAUUAAACAGGGUUUAAUUUAAGAUCAUAGAAGCUGUAUUAUCAGAUGAAACCAAUGUCCAUCUAGUCCUAGGCUGGAAGUUCAUAAACAAGGUAUGAAAUUUAUAAUUAUGCCCUGUCUCCAACAUCUCAUAUUCAGACUUUGAGAUCAUGUACAUACAGACUCUAUUUUGCUAUAAUGGUGAACAAGGGUUGUUAAAAAUAACCUCCAUGAAUUUGUCUAAUCAUUCCCAGUACUUAUGUUCUUAAAAAGAGAGAGAUGUUAGCAGAGGCCCUUGCACCUUUGGCAAGGAGCUGUAUUGGUGCCCCCCACCACAAAAAAUGCACUUUACUGCAACAUUAGAAAUUACACGCAAAUCUCUUUGAAGUAAAAAAAAAAGUAGGCCCCCCCACUGAAAUCAUUCAAACAUGCUGCUUUCAGUCUAGAUUGAUUCUAGAUGCUGCCAUCCACAAGGGUGGGUGUGCUUAUUUGAUAAGUGUUGGAAAACCCUUCCUUUGAUUAGGUUAUCUAUGCCUUCUCCUCCCUGUACAUGCCCAAGGUAAAUGAAGAAGGAUCUUGGUACAGGCUUUAGUGGGUCCACAGUGAUUUUCCUAUGGGUCCUACUGGGGACUUCAAUCAAAAUGUGAAUUUAAAUGAACUUUAGUUUACUCAGUCUUGUAUGAUAUUGUGACCCUUGUGCUUAUGCAGUGAAAUAUGUGCAUGCAAGGUCAUUGCACGCCAUCAUCUACCAGGCUGCAUGCUAAUUAUGAUGCACAAGUGACUUGCUGUGUAGGGAUUUUGUAGUGUUUAAAGUAACUCAUGGUUAGACUUGUAGGCAAUUUUUGUUCCUUCUGGUAUUGGCAAAGAGAGGCUCCAUGCUUUACAGGGCAUUCAUGCUGGCUGUGAGCAUGCUGGGUGCUUCCCAAAGAAAACUUCAGAACCAUCAGAGGCAAUAAUGCUUCUGAAUACCAGUUGCUUGAAACCUCAGUGGGUUUCCCACUGACAUUGGUCAUCAGCCUGAUCCAGCAGGCUCUUCUUGCGUUCUUGGGUUAAUAGAAUCAUAGAAUUUAGAGGACCAAAUAUGUAAAAGGUGAACAAUAGAUAUGCUUCCUUAUGUUGUCUGUGUACCCAUAGGAAACACGGUGGCUGCAAAAAAUUGUGUGGGUCCUCAGAGGGCAAGUCUCUACUGGAGGGUUUAGAUUACUUGUUUCCUGCAGUUCCCUUCAUGUAUCCAAAUAGGACUUGCCCUUAGAGGGGCAACUCAUAAAGGAGUUACAGGCUCAGAAUUCCCCCAUCCCAUAGAUGAGCAGCACAUGCACACAUUCUCACAUGUAUAGAGUGCCAUCUCACACAGGUUGGCCCACCAGCAGUGGACAGGGCUAACCCAUCACAUAUUGUUUAAGUCAGGGACUGAAAACCUGUGCACUGCCACUGGGAGUUCUUGGACUGUAGCUACUAUCAUCCCUGGCCAUUGGCAACAUUGGCUGAGGCUGAUGGGAGUGGCCAGCAGCCUCUGGAGGGUUAGAUCAAAUGCACACACACACACACACACACACACACACACACACACACACACACACACACACACACACACACACACACACACACACACACACACACACACACACACACACACACACACACACCACUCCCUCCCUGAGGAGUGAAAGGCCUUAAAGGAAAAUUCUUUGGUCUGGAGCCUAGCACUCCAUUUCUUGGUUAAUUCCCCCAGGCUUGUUGCCUGCAUUGAUGAGCCCUUAUUGGGAUGCAUAGGAUCCCUAGCAUGGAAGGUGACAGUUUUUUGGGUGUUGCAAGCUAUUGCCUGUGGAGAUCUCUGUUUUGAAUCUAAGCCACAAGCUGUUUUCUGUGCUGUUGAUCUGACUGACACUGUUGUCCCAUCAUUCUCUGGCUGCUGCUCAGAGGGUCAUGACACCGAUUUACUUUCGCAACCCAAUCCACAGAACUCUGGGAAUGAUAUUUCUGAAGAAGAUGCUCAGACUUCUCCACUAGAGCCCACACAGCGGAACUUCAUAGGCUUGCCAUACAUUAGCAAAAUUCCUAACAUGUCCUGGUUUUGGGGUGUAAAAAUCGUGUCGGGAGGAAUCUUGCUGAAUUGCGGGUGUCAGGAAUUUUACUUUUUGAAAUAUGGCAACCUAGAACUUCAGUUCUCGGUGCUCUGUAGGAAAAGGAAAAUUGUGAUUAAUCUUAGCCCUGGGGUGUCAUUCUGAAGGGGCUUAUGGGUGAAAAUGGACUCAGUGCCCCCCAUGUCAUGUCAUGAUGCAGCAUCAUUCCAAAGGCAUUCUGGGGGGAGAAAACAGCACACAGCAGCCAUCACAAUGUGUUUCACUGGUGCUAGUAUUCUACAGUAUGCCUCUGAAUAGUGAUUGCUGACAAUCACAAGUGCGGAGAAAGCAGUCAUGCUCAGAUCCUGUUUGAGGACUUCUCAGGAGGCAACUGCUUGGUCACUAUGAGAACAAGAUCAUGGACUAGCUGGGCCUUUGGCCUGAUCCAGCAGGGCUCUUAUGUCUUUAAUGGGUAUUCAGAGGUAUACUGCCUCUGAACGUAAAGAUUCUACUUAGCUAUGAUAGCUGCCUUACAGGAACAUAAAAAUAGCCCUUGUGAAUCAGACCAAAGGUCCAUACUGUUAGCCAAUAGUGGCUAACAAGACUUCUAGAAAGAUGGCUAGUCACAAUGGCUAUGUUCUCUAUUGUCUGAGGCAAUAUGCCUAUGAUUACCAUUCACUGGAAAUUGCAAGUGUGGAGGAUGCUGUUGCACUCAGAUCCUGCAUGCUGGCUUCCCAAGAGGCAUCUGGUUGGCCACUGUGAGAGAACAGGAUACAAAACUAGAUGGGCCUACAGACUGAUUUAGGGCUCAUUUUGCAUUUUUAUGCAAAUCAAUGAACCGCUGCUGCUGCUGCUGCUGCAGGGAAAGGGAAGGCCCAACAUUUGGGAUUCCCAAAUUUAUUUUAUUUGGGAUUCCCCCUCCUCAGCAAUGGAGUGUUGACUUGUGGGGGAGGGGGAAGAUUUUGCCUCAGCAGUACUUCUUGACAAGUUUGAUGGUACCUGCAGUACAGAAUUUAGAUCUCAAGAUGGCACCAGCUGCCUGCUGAAAUUAGGCUUGGCAGCAGUUAUACAUAAUAAACAAAAGGUUUUCACAGUUUGCUGCUUUCAUGUGGUGAGAGACUUUUGUGUCUAUUGAGAUGGUGUUUGCCAUAGUUGUGUGGCUUGCUGUCCAUGCAGAGCAGGAGAAUAAUCUAGAUAUACAUAGACAAUAGACAAAGCUACACAAAAAAUUAAGAAGCCUUCACUUAACUGGAAAGGCUUUCCUAUAAAUUCCUUUGUAGCAUAAGAAGAGCCUUGCUAGAUCAAGCCAAUGUCACAUCUCCUCAAGCAUCCUGUUUUCAGUGACCCACCAAAUGCCUCCUAGGAAGCCCUCAAGCAGAACCUGAGCACACAUACCCUUCCCCACUUGUGAUAGUUGGCAUUCAGAGGCAUACUACCUCUGACUGUGGAGGUAGAGCAUAAGGCAUCUUUUUAACAAAUUGAAAGUGACAUAAAAUGGUGUUUAACGUGUUAUCUAAAAAGAGUGAUCCAAAUCCUCUUUUUUGCUCAAAAAAAUUCCUUUAUUGAACAACAACAGCAAAAUGAUUGCAGAAUUUUUAAGAUCAACACCAAAGCAAUGGCAAAAAGGAAUGGGAAGUUUGAUGAUGGUAGCUGAAGUUUGAUGGUGUAUUCUCCUUAUUUCUUUAUAUCAUCAUCAUCAUUUUAAAUGGUGCUUUGCAAAGCAACCUAAGCAGAAAAUACAAGCUCCUUUCCAGGAAAGUUAUACUCUAAGUUUUGACAUCAGGGGAGGCAAUAGAAAGAGAAGGCAGAGCAGCUAACAGAGGGAAAUGUGCCAAUGCAGUUUCAUGUACUUACCUGUGGCUUCAGUAGAGCUUUGGGAAUAAAGGGAUUGGGAACUUGUGUUGGGGAAGGUUAUUAUUAUGUUAUGUAUUUUGUGUCUUUAUGCUGUAAAUGGCCCCGUGAUCUUUGGAUGAAGGGCAGUAUAAUAAUAAUAAUAAUAAUAAUAAUAAUAAUAAUAAUAGUAAUAAAAAUACAGACCUAAGCAUCCUUACUAAAGAUUAAGUUCCAUUGGACACACAGCAGGGCAUAAAGGUAAAGGUAAAGGGACCCCUGACCAUUAGGUCCAGUCGUAGCCGACUCUGGGGUUGUGGCGCUCAUCUCACUUUAUUAGCUGAGGGAGCCGGCAUACAGCUUCCUGGUCAUGUGGCCAGCAUGACUAAGCCGCUUCUGGCAAACCAGAGCAGCACACGGAAACACCGUUUACCUUCCUGCCGGAGCGAUACCUAUUUAUCUACUUGCACUUUGACGUGCUUUUGAACUGCUAGGUUGGCAGGAGCAGGGACCAAGCCACAGGAGCUCACCCCGUCGUGGGGAUUCAAACCUCCCACCUUCUGAUCGGUAAGUCCUAGGCUCUGUGGUUUAACCCACAGCACCACCCGUGUCCUCAGCAGGGCAUACUCGUGUGUAAAUAAGCAUAAAACUGAGCAGCAUUUGAAUAUUUUCAUGUCCAGGGGUUGAAUCACAAGCCAAGAGUCAAGAAAAUGAAAUUAUAGGAUACUAAUCUAGAGUUGCCCUUGAAAGAUGUCACCCAGAUCAAACUUUAAAGCAAAUUUGUAGUGUUCCUGUUCAAGGGGAAUUUGGGGUGUGUGUGUGUGCGUGUGUAUUUUUAGUAAGACAGCCACAAUUUCUCUGGGUAGUUUCACACAUUUACAAGGAUUAUAUUUAUCUCACAACUUCCUCUAGGUAGUUCAAGGUGGUAUAUAGUACAUGUACCCCUGUUGUCCUCACAACAACCCUCUGACAAGGUAGUUUAACAGGAGCAAUUGGCUCAAGAUCAGCCAACCAGUAGGUUUGUGGGAAUUUGAACUCUUUCCCCCACCCCGCAUCUAAACACAAUGCUCUUAUCUACUAUGCUAUACUGGCUCUAUGACUGAUUUCUGCAGCAAAGUAGUGGGCAUGGAAUAGAUUGAUAUCUACACUUUAACUGGCUCUAGCUUUUAGAAAUGGCAUGUAGCAUGAAGUUGAUUCCAGUCCUCGAUCAAGAAAUUAUUUUAACCUAUAAUUGUCUGGGUCAAAUGAGAUGUGGGAACAUAAGCCGUCAGGAAUCUUUAAAAACAACAACACCACCAAAACACAAAACUCCAGUAGCUGGUAUCAGUGGUGCUGCAUAAAACAUUUUUAGAAUCCAGAAACAGCUCUUCUUUCCUAGGUGAUUUCUGUAUUUAUAUUACUGGAUUUCAUAGGGCUUCUCAGGACUUUUUCCUUUUACCCACACACAUCUUUAGUUGCCUAUACUAGCUGAAGUCCCUCAGUGAUGGCCUGGGGUACUUAUUCAUCAUCAUAACAACCGUUUAGUGUAAAAUUAACAGCUUAACUGCUAUGGCUAUAAACAGGGGCCUGCAUUACUGCAGAUGGAUGAGGAUUACUUAGUUGCAGUCAGAAUGCAGACAGAAAGAAGAACAAACAAAGUAUGGCUACAUUUUGGGUUUUUCAAAAGGUUAAACAUGUUUAAAGGAUGAUUUAUAUCUGAGUGGUUUGCAAACUUUUACCCUCAGGGAUCCCUUUCCACAGGCAUUCCCUCUGCAUCUUGCAGAAGUGCCUAGACAUGGAUCCCCAGCCUCUCUUUGGGCCCAAGGGCACUUUUGGAAGUCUAAGAAACUGUCAUGGGUACCAAAUACUAAUUUCACAUUAAAAAACAUUGCAGUGCUUAGAAACACCCCCAAAGAAGGAGGAGGAGGAGGAGGAGAAAAUGUACUUCCCCGCCACACAAAAACACACAGAGAAAAAUCUGGCUAACUCUCAAAAUGAGCCACCCGACCUACAAAAGAGCCCCAAACCCCUCAAAUGUUUCAAAACAGACUUUGUUUUUUUAAAAAUCCCAACAAACCUAAAUUUUGAUAUAAGAAUUGUAAAAUUAGGAGGGGCAGAGAGCCUUGAUAGUUUGCCUGAGGUUCCUAUGGUGCCCAUGAAUGCCACCUUGGGUAUCUCAUGGCUAGUGUGUUCCAUGGAAAAUAUGUAGCUCAGUGAUAGCUCACAGCCAGAGCAUCUCAGAGCCGCCCCCCCAAACCCCAUGACAUUGGCAGCUCUUUCAGUGCCCGAAGGUGUAGCAAAGAGUUGGAGGUCUGAUUUAAAAGAAGGUGGGGGUGAGAAUUUCAAACACAUCACCUUUGCCCAUAGCCCACUUCUGUCCAAGCUGGGUAUGCCUCUAGCAUUUCAGCAUGACUAAGGAGAAAAAUAUUUUUGGAGAAAAUCUGUAGGUAUGUGGGGCAUAGUGCAGGGGAGAACUCUGCACCCCUCAACCAACCAUACCUGAAGAUGCCAGGGACUGAACCUGGGGCUUUUUGAAUGCAAGGCAGAUACUCUAGGACUGAGUUAACCAUGCCAUUUUGAGGAUAAGCCUUAAAUGUGGUUUGAAAACUGGUGUGUGUGUGUGUGUGUGUGUGUGUGAGAGAGAGAGAGAGAGAGAGAGAGAGAGAGAGAGAGAUAUGUUGGUGAUUAAAAACAUUCAUUUUAAAGAAUUGCCUUUGCAGCUGAAAUAAGUUCUGAGCCUCAUUUGUAAACUACCAUUAAGAGAAGGUUGCAGGGGAUCUGGCCUGCUGGCAGAAUGUGGCCCUCCAGUAUGCUUGAUCACAUCCUUCAUGACACACAUCCCUCAUGACUUUCACCAGGCCACUCUCUCUCACCAGGCCUUCAAAGGCUUUCUCUGUCUUUAGCUGGGCUAAUGUCUCUUCCUUCUCUCAAAGGAAGAUAUAGAGAUAAGGACUUCUACAUAGCUGGAAGGUAGCCUACUAUAGAAUGUUAAGAGUGAAAUCCGUUAAUCUGGCCCACUUUGGCUCUGGCACCACUCACCACAGGCAGUUUACCCAUAAGAGAAUGUAUUCCUCAGAUUGAAAAAGUUUUCCCACCCUUGGUCUAUCCAAUCAAAUGUGUCACACAGUGCCAUGUUGACAUCUUGUCACGUGAUUCCUUGGGACAAGCAUUUUAUUAUUUUUAAAAAGUCCAGACUGAGAACAGUCUAUAGCUGUCUGUUUCCUACUGAGAAUCUGCCCCCCCCCAACAGUGUUGUUCAUAGCCAUAUAGCAUCCAGUGGGUUUUCCACAGAAACUGGCAGCGAUAUGAAACAAUCAUGAUUCAAUCCACGGGGCUGCUUUUGCUUCAAAAAUAAAGUUGUAGUGUUAAACAUAGUGUAAAGUUUGACCCUUUGAGUAGACAAGAGAUGGGGAACAUGUGGCUCUGAUGGACUCCAGCUCCCAUCAGCCUCAGCAAGCAUAGCCAGUAGUCACAGAUGAUGGGAACUCUAGUCCAAUGACCCCUAGAGGGUCCCUUUUCCCCAACCUCCAGAACAUCUAGUUGGGUCUUUAAACAUUGCUACCUUAGACAGAAUUGUGCAAUAGGAUAGCCCCACACAAAUAAAACAUGAUAGGUCUUGGUUUGUAGCUCUCCCUCCCUCAGAUAGCAAACCAAAGGACAAACAAAAAUGCUUAAGCACACCUAGAGCUGCAUCUAAACACAAAGGAGUGGGGGGAGAUACCAAACAAGCUUCCCCCCCUCUGUUUUCUCCCUGAGCCAAGUAAUCCCUUUGAUUACAUCUAAUACCUGCCAAAACCCAGAUGGUAUGCCCACCCAUCUCACAGUGUGAUAAUGGCACAUUGCAAAAUCUACCCAUUAAUAUUAAUUGUCAGCCAGAGAAUCUUUCUGAACUACUAUAGCUUGAGAUUGCCUUGUGAAAGCGGGGCACGGUUUAGUAGGGAUUUUACAAUAAUUCCCAUUCUUUCAUCCCAAGUCUCACAUAUGUGGAAUGUUAAACAACACUCAUCGCAUUUCUGUCAUUCUCUGCCACUUGCAAUCCUGGCCUUAAAUAUCUCUGCAUUUGGGGUCCUUCACCUGCUGACCAAAGGCCUACCUUCAAAUUGCCACAAGCUACACAAUUGUAUACCUCAGAGCAUGCUACACAGGGUGUUCCCUUUCCCCUGAUAGUACCUUGGAUUGGCAGUACUCCAGCAUAUAAUAUAUGCCUUGCUUGUCAGUCAUGGUAUACUCCACUGUACCUAAUUUCCAAUGGACACACAAACCCUGGAACUCCCUGGAAUUUUUUCACCGAUUGUCAGAGAUUGGGGGAGGUGUGCAACAGUCUUUUGUCUUCCUGUUUUGUAUGUUUAUCUUAUGAACCACCCUGUGAUCUUCAGAUGUAGGGCGGUAUACAAAAUGUAUAUUUAAAAUGCACUGUUCCCUACUACUAGACACAUGAGUGGGUCUGUUCUCUGAAUCUUAUCUGAACAAUUGCUUUCUUCUUUACUGGUUUUAUUCCAUUAUCUCAUUUAUUCAUUUAUUUCACUAAAGCCAUGAUUCUGUUGAUUUGUUUUGCUGUUUCCAAGCGCUCUUUGCAGAAGAUACAAAAAAGGAGAGCCUGGUAAAUGCUGGACUAAAUGGCUCCAGCUGAACAAUGGCAAGUGGUGGACAAAAUACGCCUGAGGUUACUAAAAGGACCUUAAAAAUAAGCAGGCUGUGACAUGUUAAAGAUGCAUUAUUUGAGAGUCGGGGGCAGAGGAGGAAUGAAGGGCAGGGGGAAAACUCUAUGGAUAUAAUUUAGCCCUUGCAACAAGGUCAAACUGAUUUAAUCCCCCCUGGAAAGGUCAAGGAAAGGCCUGGCUGACCUAACCUCUGUGCUCUCCAUCUGUCUGCUCCUGAAGCCAGACACUUUCAAUAGGGGAUUGUGUGUUCUUGGCUGGCUGCAAACAAAUUGAAGUAAUCACCAGGUCUAGGGGCCUUCUCAAAGUGUUUGCUAACAUUCUCCCAGUGCCUCUGGAAGUCACAGUCAAAACCUCCUUCACUUCCCACCCCCGAUGCUAGAAUCAUAAAAAUGCAGUGGUUUCUUAACAUGCCAAGGUUCACUGAACUUUCCAAAUUCACUGGUAAAGCCACCAACUCCAGUCUUCAAAUGCAGCUACUCAGCAAGUCAUCUUUUCAGCCACAUACUCCAGUUCUUCCCUUUCUUUGUUGAAUUUUAGACUGCAAACUCUUCAGGGCAGGGACCUCUCCUCUUGUACUAAGCCCCAUGCACUCUAAUGGCACAAUAUCAACAAUAAAGAGUACAUAGAGUUGGUUGAGUAUCAAGUUCACAGACACUGUUUAGAGAAACUGAAGAGCAGAAUAUCCUUGUGAACAAAUCCAACAACAACAACAACAACAACAACAACAACAUCCCUGUUCUUGAGCUUCUUUAGCACAGGAGUAGGGGACAUUUAAUCAUAUGUCCUUAUGGGGAACCUUCCAGGGGCUGUGUGCCAGUAGUGGGUCUCUCCAGAAGGAAAAGUUGGAACAGUAAUGGAUGUGACUCUUCUCUUUGUACAGCCUGCUACAUUCUAACCACACAAAAGGCAGAUAGUUCUACACACCCAACUUUCAUUCUGCCAUCCAGGCCAGCAAAAAGUUGGGACUGAAGACCUAUUUCAGCCAGGAGAGGGCAUGACACAGGACCAAUGAAGGGUGUGACAUUGGGAGAGCUCUCACAGCCAGAUAGAAAGGCCUGAAGGGACACAUAGCCCUCUAAGCCUGAGGUUCCCGACCCCUGCACUAUAGUGCUUUAAAUUACACACAGCCUAAAUCAGUUUUGAUGCAUUUAGGGGCAGAGCUGAGCUGGAAGAUCCAUGCCUGCCACCACUGCAAUUCUGGUUCCAGAGGGGCCCCUCCUGUGUCUGUGGGGCCAGCAUGAACCUCCAAAUGGCUGUGGCAGGGGUAAGCAUUAUCAUGGGCAUCAUGGAGCUUGGAGCUAAUAUAUAAAUUUCCUUGCCACUCCCCCCAGAUAUAACAUUGCUAUAUCUGGGGCACUGUGGAAAAUUAAAAGCUGGGGACACUAUGUAGAAAAAAUUAAAUGGCAGCUCAAAGUCACCUAGCACUCAUUGAAGCACCAGAAAAUAGGAUCCCAGCAUAGCUGAUGGGGUGGGCCUUGCUAGGCCACUGGUGCACCAGCAGCUGCCUGAGAAUUCCAGGUGCUAGCAGUGGCCCUGUGACACUUUUGUAGUUUGGAAUGUACACACAGUAGGAAGCUGAAGCCAAUCUCAGCUUCUCAAGUAUACCUGUGCAAGAUGUAUGUUUGCAAACACGUUUGUCAUAUUUACAUUACAGUAUACUUUCUUUUUUAAAAAAAGUUUACCCUCCUGAAAAUGUAAUGUGUGAAACAGCCCUUAGGUGUGCAGAAUAUUUUGUAACAGGUGUAAUGAAACAAAAUACAUAAGAGCAUAUUGCUGGAAGGAGCUUUCGCACCAAUUUGCUUCCUCCAAAAUGAGAACAAAUGAUAAAACAGAAGCUGAUGCAGCAUUUUACUGAACAAUGUGUGUGUGUGUGUGUGUGUGUGUGUGUGUGUGUGUGUAUAGUACUUUUUUGGUAUGUAAAGUAGAGAAUUCUUUAAAAAUAAUUGUCAGGGUAGGACAGAUAUGUAGCAUACCGGUGUGUGUGAGAGAGAACAAUUUUCAUCUCAUACAAAAUGGCAACAUGCUUCUUUUCAUUUGAAAUAUGAACCUGCACUAUUAGAAACUGAGCAAACAAGUUAAGGAAAACAGGACCAGAGCUCUCCCCCUCCCCUGCAAAAUAUUUAUUUUAUUGAUAAAAGCCAUUGCAAGAGAUGCAUUCAUUCCACACACACACACCCCUUUAAAGAGAAGAUUCUAUGUUUAGUGGAAGUGAUUUGUUUCUGUUCUGCCUAAAGAAAGACUACCAUUAUUAUUUCAUAUUGACAGAGGUUGUUAGAGUUAAAUGACUGACCUUAUUUGUUUGGGCUAAGAUAUACACCAGGAUUCUCCAUAAAUAUUCCAGGCUCCUCUCCUGAAUUUUCCUUAAAAAAACAAAGAACCAAGUCGAUAGCACUUGCACUUCCAGAGGUACUAGAGAAAAUGGGCAGGUAUUUUUUCCUGAUCAAUUCGGCAGCAUACUAACUAGGACUUGUAUUGUUUAGUCAAUUAAUUGCAGGAGUGAUGCAUCUCUUUGGCUCCACAGGCCAGAUCUUUAUCUGAUCAUAGCCUCAUGAGCCAAAUUUGACCUGUGAGCCUGGCCAUCCACAAGUCAGUCACCUGAUGUCACAAUGAUGUCAGGUGAUUGACCACUUUGAAGUCCCUGAAUCAGGACUUCAGACAUCACACAGGACUUGCUAAGAGGACCUGGUCCACUUGAACAAACUGUGGAUUUGUUUGCUAAAGUCACAAAAUAUGCAGCAAAGCAAAGCAUGGAAAUAUAAGCUGCUACAUCUUUAAAAUAUGCCGUUUAAAGUGAGUUCCAAAGUUUCUUCUUCCCCAAGCAUAGGGAAAAACCACAUGUUUGGUAAGUUAAUAAUUGCUUUACUUACAAACGCUUCAAAGCUCAGGUUCAUGUGCUUUUCCACACAUCAGUCAGAAAAGUUGCGCACACAGUAAACCUUGGCUUAGUUGCAAAGUGGUGAAAGUUCCUAAAUUAUUGAGAUAGGAACUCAAGAGAUCAGCUUGACAGGGCCAUGCAGCUAAGCUGACACAACCAGCUUAGCCUCUUCACAUAUUGAGUUCAUCAGGUAGACUUAAGGGGUUCAGGUAGACUGAAAGGGAACAAAGGCUUGACUACCUAGUUUCUCCCAAGGUGAACUAAGCCUGGCAGGACAUCUUUCUGUAUGGUAUUAAUCCCUUCAUGCAUUAAUUAGACUUAAGCAUGUGGGUUAUAUGAGGUUGGUUAACCCACAGUUUAAGGCAGCUUCCUAUGUUGUGGAGGGUCAUAAGUUCCCCCUCCCCACGUGUGCCUCCCUUGCCAUCUUAUUUGAAGGAAUAGUACAACACCUUGUCCUCAAAUUGCUACUCACCUGUUGUAAUUAAAUAAGCUGGCUCAGAAGAGGCUUUAGAUGCAUUUUCUUUUUUUUCUCUUUUUAAACAAAACUCCUCUUUCCUCUGUGUAAGAAGAGGCACCCUUGGAAUAUUUUAAUAACCAAGUGGUAGCAUUCUUAAAUUAGAAGUGCGAGCCUGGAAAAGAAAGCAGGGGGAGAACACAAAACACAACCUGACAUGCUCUUAUUAUAGCAAUGCCCAUACUCCUUCUUCAGGCACAGGAGAAAUGAGACAAUUUCUUAAUUAUGACAAGAUUUGGGGGGGGGAGAGGGGGAAAGCUUACAUUCUCUGUUUCUUCCUCUCCCCCUCCCCCAUUUCCCAGACUGCAAAGUUCUCAAAAACCAAGCAUAACACUUUAAAUGAAAGGGAAGGGAACUGGAAGUAUGUAUUAUUAUUAUUAUUAUUAUUAUUAUUAUUAUUAUUAUGGUAUCAUCUGUUCUUCCCUCUCAAUUCUGUUACUCUUCCCUUAUUUUUUAAAAUUGUAUUUAUUAAAUUUAUUUUCCACCCUUCAUCCGAAAAUCACAGGGUGGCUUACAACAUAAAACACAAAAUAAAAACUCAAAACAUAACAUAAUGACAAUAUAGGAAUAAUUUUCUUAUUGUCUGUCUCCCCACAGAAGCAUGUUGUUAUUGUUGGCCUCUCCCACCCCAACACAUUUAAAAGGGCAUGGAUUGUUUAAUUAGCAAAGGCCAGGUUGUAGAGGAACAUUUUUGCCUGGCACCUAAAGCUAUGUAAUAAAGGGGCAGUACGUAAUAAAUUCUUUAUUGGAGGAAAGAAUGUCACAAACUGGGAGCUACCGCAGAAAAGGCCUAUUCUUGUGUUGCCACCCUCCAGAUAUUUCAUGGAGGGGGAACACAAAGAAGGGCCUUAGGUGAUGAUUGCAGGGUCAAGGUUGGAUCAUAUGGGGAGAGGCGGUCUUGAGGCAUUGCAGUUCUGAGCUGUUGACCUCACUUCUGUUUUUCCAAAGGAAUAACAUAGUGUGUGUGUGUGUGUGUGUGUGUGUGUGUGUGUGCAUGUAAGUAAUGAGAUUUUCUUUUGUGAAAUCAUGCAGUUGCCUUUUGAUCAUUCACUCACAUUUUCAGAUUUAAAGAAUUUUGCUAAUGUAUAGUUUACCAGAUAUAUAGUUACUGCAUUCACUGUAGAGGAGGAGUGGUUAUACAAUUUUGACUAAGAGAGGGAUUUUGGGGUCAUAGUCAACAGCUCAAUGCAGACUUCAACCCAGAGUACUCUGCAGCAGCUGUGAAAAAAGCAAAUUUCAUGUGGAAUUCGUGGUAUGGAAAUACCGUUAUACAUAUCUCUGGUGUGACCACACUUGGAAUACAGUGGUGCCUCGCAAGACGAAAUUAAUUCGUUCCGUGAGUUUUUUCAUCUAGCGAAUUUUUCGUCUUGCGAAGCACGAAAUCCCAUAGGAAUGCAUUGAAAUUCAAUUAAUGCGUUCCUAUGGUCAAAAAAAGUCCAAUCAAAGCCAAAUUCGGUACAACAAGAGUUUAUUAACUGCUCUUUAAAGUCACACAUACUUUAAAGAGCAUAUCAAAAAUUGAAGGAACAAUAAAUUAAGUUUCUAAACAUGACAGGAAAAACAUUUAAAAAUCAAAAAGGGUACAUUACAUUUUCUAAGACUCUGGGGGACCACUCGAAGAAGGUUCCUCUUCCACUCUUUGCUUCUUGCUGAGGAACCUGUCCAUGGUCUGCUGCUUCAUCCGCCGUUUCAGCAGCUCCCUGAGAGGCGACAUGACCGUCGUAUCAAAAAUGUUCGCUUGGUCAUGUGCCACGUGCUUGUCAGGGUGGUGCCGCUCUGCAAAAGCCUGCACCUCAUUCCACUUCUGGCAAAUGUCCCUCAGUUCUUUGGAGGACAGCCGUUCCUCAGUUGCUUCCUCCUCUUCCAGCGAGGCCUGCUCCUGCGCAACCUCUGACUGCAGUGCAACCAGCUCCUGGGUGGUCAGCUCGUCGUCGUGCUCCUCCACCAGCUCGCAAACGUCCUCCUCUGUGACCUCCAGGCCCAAGGUCCUCCCCAAGGCAACAAUGUCCUGCACCACUGUCGACUCUGGUGCAUCAGAGUCACUUGGUGCCACACAGUCCGGCCACAGGCUGCGCCAAGCGCAAUUCAAAUUCCUCUGGCUGAUCCCCUUCCAGGCCGUGGUGAUCAUCUUCAAGCAGGUGACGAUGUCGAAGUGGUCCUUCCAGAAUUCCCGCAGGGUGAUGGUGGUGCAAUCAGUCACCUCGAAGCAUCGCCUGAAAAGCUCCUUGGUGUAGAGUUUCUUGAAAUUGGCGAUGACCUGCUGAUCCAUCGGCUGGAGCAGUGGCGUGGUGUUAGGCGGCAGGAACAUGAUGUUGAUGAAGCUGAACUCCUCCAACAAGUCCACCUCAAGGCCUUUAGGAUGAGCAGGAGCAUUGUCCAUCAGAAGCAAAGCCUUCAGCGGCAGGUCAUUGUCCAGCAGGUACUGUUUGACAGCAGGGCCAAAGGCAAGAUUGACCCAGUCCACAAACAGCACACGUGUGACCCAAGCCUUGCUGUUGGAUCGCCACAUGACACUCAGCCGCUCCUUGUCGACCUUGUGUUUCUUGAAGGCCCGUGGGUUCUCCGAGUGGUACACCAGCAGGGGCUUGAUCUUCAGGUCGCCGCUUGCGUUGGCACAGAAGAGCAGGGUCAGACGGUCCUUCAUGGGCUUGUGGCCAGGCAACUUGGCCUCCUCCUGAGUGAUGAAAGUCCUUUUGGGCAUCCUCUUCCAAAACAGCCCGGUCUCGUCGCAGUUGAAGACCUGCUGUGGAACGUAGCCCUCCGUCUUCACAACCUCCAGGAACUCCAAGGCAAAGUCUUCAGCCGCAGGAACAUCAGAACUGGCAGCCUCUCCAUGCCUGACCACGCUGUGGAUUCCGGAUCUUGCCUUGAACCGGUCAAACCAGCCUCUGCUUGCCUUGAAGACUUCUGGCUCGGCCGAGGUUCCUGGCUGUUCCCGGAUGAGGUCUGCGUGCAAGGCCUUGGCCUUCUCACAAAUCACGGCCUCAGUCACUGUGUCCCCUGCACGCUGCUUCUCUUCUAUCCAGAUGAGGAGCAACUUCUCGACCUCCUCCAGAACAGCUGGGCGGUUCUUCACGAUCCUGGUGACUCCCUUGGCUGCAUCAGUCGCAAGGAUCUUCUCCCUCAUCUUCAGGAUGGUCCCGAUGGUCGAUGGGUUCCUGCCGUACUCCCUGGCGAGGUCCGUCACACGCAUUCCACCGUCGUGCUUCCGGAUGAUCUCCUUCUUCAUCUCCAGCGUCACCUUCUCCUUCUUCCUCUCGCCGGCCUCCGCAGCAGCAGCAGUCUUCUUGGGUCCCAUGGCAGCACAGCUGUUACCUUUGUAAAACUCAGAAAAAGAAAAAUUAAAUCAGCAAUUCAAACCCACAACCAAGUCCUUGAAUUCCAAACACCCAACCCAAAAUCCAAAAACCCCAAAAAAAGUUUUAAAAGUUUAACUUACGAAAUGGCUGCAAAUCACCAAAGUCUUCAAAAUCCUCAAAUGGCUGCAAAAGAAAUUUUGGGAAAGCUUUAAAAAUCACCAAAGUCUUCAAAAACCUCAACUGUUCCCCCAGCCCCUCCCCAACUGUUGCAAACCCCUCCCCAACUGUUGCAAACCCCUCCUCAACUGUUCCCCCAGCCACCCAGCACACAGAAAUUCAAAACCCAGAAACUUUUUCAAAAAAAACAACAUGGCCCAAUGGUUACAGAAAACCAUAAAAAAUUCAAAAAAAGCACACAAGCUCCCAGAUUCCUGCAAACCCCUCCUCAGCUGUUCCCCCAUCCACCCAGCACACAGAAAUUUAAAACCCAGAAACUUUUUUUCAAAAAAACAACAAGGCCCAAUGGUUACAGAAAACCAAAAAAAUUCAAAAAAAUCACACAAGCUCCCAGAUUCUUGCAAACCCCUCCCCAGCUGUUCCCCCAGCCACCCAGCACACAGAAAUUCAAAACCCAGAAACUUUUUCAAAAAAAAACAACAUGGCCCAAUGGUUACAGAAAACCAUAAAAAUUCAAAAAAAGCACACAAGCUCCCAGAUUCUUGCAAACCCCUCCCCAGCUGUUCCCCCAGCCACCCAGCACACAGAAAUUUAAAACCCAGAAACUUUUUAAAAAAAAACAACAUGCCCCAAUGGUUACAGAAAACCAUAAAAAUUCAAAACAAAGCCCACAACCUCCCAGAGUCUUGCAAACCCCUCCCCAGCUGUUCCCCCAGCCACCCAGCACACAGAAAUUUAAAACCCAGAAACUUUUUCAAAAACAACAACAUGGCCCAAUGGUCACAAAACAUCAACAAACUACAAAACAAAGCCCACCAGCUCCCCGAUUCUUGCAAACCCCUCCCCAGCUGUUCCCCCAUCCACCCAGCACACAGAAAUUUAAAACCCAGAAACUUUUUCAAAAAACAACAACAUCGCCCCAUGGUCACAAAAAAUCAUAAAAAUUCCAAAAAAAGCACACAAGCUCCCAGAUUCUUGCAAACACCUCCCCAGCUGUUCCCCCAUCCACCCAGCACACAGAAAUUUAAAACCCAGAAACUUUUUUCAAAAAACAACAACAUGGCCCAAUGGUCACAAAAAUCAUAAAAAUUCAAAAAAAGCACACAAGCUCCCAGAUUCUUGCAAACACCUCCCCAGCUGUUCCCCCAUCCACCCAGCACACAGAAAUUUAAAACCCAGAAACUUUUUUCAAAAAAAACAACAUGGCCCAAUGGUCACAAAAAUCAUAAAAAUUCAAAAAAAGCACACAAGCUCCCAGAUUCUUGCAAACACCUCCCCAGCUGUUCCCCCAUCCACCCAGCACACAGAAAUUUAAAACCCAGAAACUUUUUCAAAAAACAACAACAUGGCCCAAUGGUCACAAAAAUCAUAAAAAUUAAAAAAGCACACAAGCUCCCAGAUUCUUGCAAACACCUCCCCAGCUGUUCCCCCAUCCACCCAGCACACAGAAAUUUAAAACCCAGAAACUUUUUUCAAAAAACAACAACAUGGCCCAAUGGUCACAAAAAAUCAUAAAAAUUCAAAAAAAGCACACAAGCUCCCAGAUUCUUGCAAACAACUCCCCAGCUGUUCCCCAUCCACCCAGCACACAGAAAUUCAAAAAUUCAAAGCCAGAUUUUUUUUAAAAAAAAUAAACAUGGCCCAAUGGUCACAGAAAAUCAUAAAAAUGCAGAAAAAAACCACACAAGCUCCCAGAUUCUUGCAAACCUCUCCCCAACACCAAGUCCUUGAAUUCUAAACACCCCAACCCAAAAUCCCAAAAACCCAAAAAAGUUUUAAAAGUUCAACUUACCAAACAGCUGUAGAAGAAGUUUUGGAAAAGCUUCAAAAAUCCAGCAAACUCUUUAAAAAGCUCAGAAAGGCCACCACACCGCGUGCAAUGUGUUGCUCCUCGAGGUCAAGUCGCAACUGCACCUCUUCAAGCAAUGCACCCUGGGUUUUAACGGUUUUACGAACAAGGAAACAAACUUGCAAGACGUUUCGUCUUGCGAAGCAAGCCCAUAGGGACAUUCGUCUUGCGAAGCAACUCGAAAACGAAAAAACCUUUCGUCUUGCGAGUUUUUCGUUUUGCGAGGCGUUCGUCUUGCGGGGCACCACUGUACUGUUUCAAGGUUUGGUUGCCUCAUCUCAAAAAGAAUAUUGUAGAGCUGCAAAAAAUCCAGAAAAGGCCAACAAAAAUUAUCCAUGAUGCUGGAGCAACUCCUUUAUGAGGAAAGAUUACAUGUGGGGCUUUUUCGCUUAGAAAAAAAAAAUGAGUAAGUUGCAGACACACAAUAGAAGCGUAUAAAAUUAUGUAAGAUGCAGAACAUGUGAAUAGGGUUGGUUUUUUCCUCCCUCUCUCAUAAUACUAGAAACCAGGGGUAAUGCAGUGAAGCUGAAUGGUGGAAGAUUUAAGGCAAACAAAUAGGAAAUAGGAAACCAAUGCAUGCCAAAUCAGACCAUUGGUCCAUCUAUCUCAGUACUAUCUGCACUGCCAAGCAGCAGCUCUCCAGGGUUUCAGACAAGGAAUGUUUAGAGAUUAUGGGAAUGGAAGCCGGGAACUACUACAUGCAUAGCAGUUGCUCUAUCACUGAGCUACAGUCCCCCUAUUAGUUGUAGGCAGCUUUCAGAAAUCAGUCAGGGAGGUAAGAGUCAAGAAGCACACAACAGUCUUGAAGACUUUAUUGCUCCAGCAAAAUAUCAGGCCACCCCAAAGGGUCCCCCCCCCCAUAUAGCCCAGGGGUCAACCUGAAUGGGCAGGGUCUGGAUCCUGACAAUAUUUCACUGUUAGGAAGAUGCUUCAAGCUGUAGUUCUAAUAAUUUACUACAUGGGGCAGUCACACACAGAAUCUGGUUCUAAACUGAUCAGUUCUUGACAUGGUUACUGGCUGAAGUUUCUACAGAAGUCAUGCAGAAUUUCCAACUCAGGAAACAGAUUAAUUUUAGUAGUUCGGGAGGAUCAUGCAACCUUUUGAGUUACACUCGAACAUUACACCUAAACUGAUUAGAAUCUACAGAGUCCUCACAAACUUGAAGAUUGCUACCCAAGGAGAACUUGGCCAAUUGAUAGUUGUCAAUUUAUAUAAAUAAAGAAAAAAAUAAAAGAAAUUUAUAUUUCUUCAUCCCUGGAAUCAGUAUCAUAUAGUAAAUUACAUAGUUUGGAUAAGCAGAUUUCUACAAUGUUUGUCUCUGCCUGAAAGUAUAACAAUUUUAUUUUUAUUUUUGGUUUCUUCUCCUGAAAUACUUCUGUGUUUGGAGGGGGGCCCCCCACAUUAUACUGUAUAGCAACUGCAAAUACGUAGAUUUAAGAGAAUGUGUUGCAGCUGCUUGGAUCAGCCCAACAAAAGGCUUUAUGUAAGAAAUGAAUAUUCCUUGUAUUUUAUUUUUUAAAAAUAAUUAUUUUAAAGUGUAGAAUGUGCUUUGGCAUUUGCAAGAAAUAGAGAAAAUCAACAGUUCUAUUUAAAGGAGCGUUGUUGUCUUACACUGAAAAUGGUUAGCUCUGCAGAUACUAGAAAGGAAACUCUCACAUCUGCCUCAGCGAUUUUCUCAAAAACCUGUUAUGUUACAUGAGUGUAAAAAAAGAAAAAGAAGUUAGAAAGCUUUAUUUUAUGAUUAAUUGUCACUCACGUUUUUUGCUAGCAAGUGCUGACAUGAUUUCCAAACAAGCCUUAUGCUGUGCAAAUCCUUGUUUGUAUCUGAAAGUUUGGGAACUACUAUAUAUUUUUCUAUUUCUACAGAAAGCUAUUGUAGUAUUCAAGUAUGUGUGUACAUAUAUUCCACACUUCUUCCUUUAAAUAAGAGAAUAAAGCAACAAACCCGCCUGAAGUCUAAUUCAAAGCAAAUUCCUCCAGAAAUAUUUUUUUGGUGAUGUAAUCUUCUACCUAUGUACUCUACCUCUUUCUGGAUGCAUUUUUAUUGGUGGGGUGCUAACCGUGUAAAAUCAGUGCUUUUUUCUAAAAAAUGUUUAGGGGUACUCUCAUUUUGACUCAAGAAAAUCACCAUUUUAUAGUUCAAAUUGGGGAAAAUAAAUACAAUAAAUGGACAAAAGUACAAGGAUUCACAAAAUGUUUAGGGGUAUGCAUCCCCCUGCAUCCCCCCAGAAAAAAGCACUGUGUAAAGUAAUGCAACCCAAUCAAUAAAUGUGAGAGGUAUGUAUGUAGCUGUCACUUCAUCAUCACCAUCAUUAUGCUUAUAGUGCCAUUUUAGGUGUCCAAAGUGAUGGUGGCAAGGAAAAAAAUAGGUGUAAAAAGAGAAUUCUUUGGAUGCUAAGAUCCAGGUAUGGGGCAAGUACUCUAUGGUGAGAGAACACCAGCAGAGAUUUAAAACCACAAAACAUGCAGUGAAGUAAAGUGUAGAAAGAGAGGCUGUUAGACCUUUAAAAUAUGUCUUUCUAAGUGAGUUCCAAAAUAGUCCCCUCUUCCGCCAGCAUAGGAAGAAACCACAUGUUUACUAAGUUUUAAAUGGUUUACUUACAAACUCUCUAGUGGGCAGGUACAUGUGCUUUUCCAUAUGUCAGCCAAAAAGCACAGGCAGUAAAACGUGGCUUAGUUACCGUGGUGAAAGUUCCUGAAUUAUUGGUAUGGGAACUAAAUAAUGGCUUGUAGAAGCCAGGCGGUGUCUUCUUGGAGCCACCAUCACAUCACGUUGAGCUUCUCAGGUAGACUGAGGGGAACAAAGUCUUGAUUACCUAGUCCUGCCCAAGGCUGAGUUAAGCCUGGCAGGACAGCUUACUUUAUGGUCUUAACCCCUUCAUGCAUAAUUAGACUUAAGCAUGUUCAUGGAAUCAUAGAAUUGUAGAGUUGGAAGGGACAAUGAGGGUCAUCUAGUCCAACCCCCUGCAGUGCAGGAAACUUUCACCCAACAUGGGGCUCGAACCCAUGACCCUGAGAUUAAGAGCCUCAUGCUCUCCCAACUGUGCUGUCCCAGGCAUGUUGGUUAUAUGAAGCUGGUUACACCACAAACCCCUUCUCAGGCAAAUAUAACAAUUGCAUGCACAAUUAAUGAACCACCCAGAGUCCCAUCUUGACUCAAAAGUUCUCAGAACUGUCUCUUGGUAGUGGCUUGGUCAGAAUGUUGGCUGCUAUUUCUUUGGUUUGACAAUGCACCAAUUCAACAAGUCAAUCUGACAUUCCUCUUCUCUCGCUGCUUACUUGGUGUGCUGUCAUGGGAGGGCGGUGAGUGGAUAGGGACAGAUCCCUCUUGCUCAGAAGUCUACAAUGAUCACUUGCAGAGACUCAUAUAAAAUUAAACUGAGGUCUGCAUGUUGCCCACUCCUGAACUGAAGCACAACUAUAAAGUUUGGCUGAUUAAACUCUGAGGGGGUUUUAUUUUAAAAAAAUCAUAUCCGAUAUUUUCUCCAUAGAGCUCAAGGUGGGAUACAUGGCUCUCACAUCUUGCAUUUUAUCCUCACAACAACCUUGUGAUGUAGGUUAGGCUGAGAGACAAUGACUGGCCUAAGGUCAAACAAUGAGCUUCAUAGCUGGGUGGGGAUUUGAACCCUGGUAUUCCAGGUCUUUAAUUGCAAUUCUAUGGUUAUUUUGCUGUUUCAUUGUUAGCUACAUUAAGGAUCUUUUCUUGAUUGAAAAGUGAGAUAAAAGGUAAAUUAAAUAAAGAGGUGGGCUCAAAAGGCCUCAGUUAACUUCUUCUGUAGGUCUCCAGGGUUUCAAGAAAGUAUAUCUCCCAACCCUACCUGGAGAUGCUAGGGAAUGAACCUGUGACCUUCUGCUUGCAAGGCAGACAAUUACCACUGAGCUAUGGCCCUUCCCUAUAGACAGACAUACCCCCAUUAAUUUAUCCUCUCCCUUUCAUCUACCUUAACAAUUCUCAAAUAAUAUGUAUUUUAGAGUUACUGAAGGUGAAUCAAAUCUAUAAAAAUGCUGGAAUCCCCCAAAGUUUAGAUUUGGAACAAGUCCCCAGGAUCUGAUAAAAGGGAUCUAAGCAGGAAAAGCCAUGUCAGAGGAAACCUGGCAAUGAAAUACUUUUAACAGUCUAUGUGGUAAGAUAGUCUAUAUGCUGGACUGAAGUUAAGAAUAAAUUUGCUAAUUUGUGGUUAACCUGGUCAAGAGCAUAACGUCCAUUCUCUUGAGGCCUCUUUGCAGGAAACACCUUUGGAAAUAGGGAACUGAACUUGGAUGAUUUAGCUAAUGCACAACUAACGGCUGUGCUUGGUGCAACAUACAGCAAAUGAAGAAAAGUGUGGCAAGGGUCAUGUCUGGGGCAACCAGAAUGGCUACCCACCUACAUAGACACCUUGCUUAAAGCUGCUUGUAAAAGCUGUAGAAUUUGGUGCUGACACACUGGACAAUAUGGCUUUGGGGGUUUUUUUGCCUAUAAGAACUAGCCAGGACUAGACUCAGGUCAGAGAUCCAGGGAAGCACCAUCAUUAGAAAAACUGACUGGGGAUAUGUUCAAAUUAGGUGCUUGAAACACUGUGAGGUCACCCAUCCACCUCUUGCUGCAUUUCAAGCCACAUUUGUUCACCUCAGAGAGGGGUUAGGGGUUUUUUCAUCUGACAUACAUGAGAUUUCGGGUUUUCUCCACUCCUGGAACCCCACUGGACCUCUUAUUUGUUAUAUUAUUAAUUAUUAUUAUUAUUAUUAUUAUUAACAAUAUACUGCCCAUUAUCCUAGGGUCACAGGGCGGCUUACACUAAAAACACGAAAAUACAUAGCAUAGUAACAAACAAACAAAAUACCCUCACCCCAAACUGUCAUUUGUGCUUGCGCACUUAUCUGUGGCUCUGCAACGGCUGAUAUGGUAUUGUAAGUAAGCAGUAAUGUGAGCAUACCCUAUGAGAGAGAAAGAGAAAAACAUACAUAAAUACAUACAUAAAGUUAUUUGUGUGCCACCUUUCCAUAGUUAAAACCAUGCUCAAGGUGGCUUACAACAUGAAAAAAAUACAUAAUUACAAACAUAACACAAGCAGUCAUAAACAAUAAAACAUCCAAAAGGACACAACCAAAUUAAACAAUUUCUGUUAUGUUUUUCUAUAUGCUGGAAGCUGCUCAGAGUGGCUGGGGCAACCCAGUCAGAUGGGUGGGCUACAAAUAUUGCUUAUUAUUAUUAUUAUUAAAUCAUAAUAAGGUAUAAAAUAAAGAUACAAAAAAUGAUAUCAAAACCAGCAACAGCAACAGCAACAACAAUCCCUGUGCCAACAAAAAACCCUAAAUAACACCCCAACCCAAAAGUCUGUUCAGUCUCAGCUUUUGUAGCUGGAGUCAGGGCCCUGCACUCCCAAGCGAGAUGGAAACAUACACAGUUAGGUGCAUAAUCUAAAAACAAAACACUUUUUAUUUUAUCCCUUUUCUUCAUAAUAACACAAAAAGCUGCCUUAUACCGAGUCAGAUCUAGCUGAUUAUUGGUCCAACUUGCUCUGUAUUGCCUACACUGACUGGCGGCAGCUCUGUGAUUUCACACAGGGUUCUCUCCCAAACUUAACUGGCUGGGGAUUGAACCUGGGACCUUCUGUGUGCAAAACAUAUGCUCUGCCACUGAGCCAUGACCCUUUUCCAAGGUCAUAUGCAACUUUCGCACACUUAAUCCAUUCACCAGUUCAAAACUUUUUUUAAAAAAAUAUUUAUAAACUGCACUUUCCUAACAACAUCAACAACAAAUUGUUGUUGUUUAGUCAUUUAGUCGUGUCCGACUCUUCGUGACCCCAUGGACCAGAGCACGCCAGGCACUCCUGUCUUCCACUGCCUCCCGCAGUUGCGUCAAACUCAUGCUGGUAGCUUCGAGAACACUGUCCAACCAUCUCGUCCUCUGUUGUCCCCUUCUCCUUGUGCCCUCCAUCUUUCCCAACAUCAGGGUCUUUUCCAGGGAGUCUUCUCUUCUCAUGAGGUGGCCAAAGUAUUGGAGCCUCAGCUUCACGAUCUGUCCUUCCAGUGAGUACUCAGGGCUGAUUUCCUUCAGAAUGGAGAGGUUUGAUCUUCUUGCAGUCCACGGGACUCUCAAGAGUCUCCUCCAGCACUAUAAGUUCCAAUUGUAGUAAAAACACCAGUACUGUAGAAACGUCCAUAAAUGCUGGUUGGUUCAAAGAAAAUUCGCAUUGCAUCUAAAAGAAGGAAUGAUUCCUGACCAAUUUUACUGGUCACUGGUCAGAGAUUGCCACAUGAAAGGCUUGGGCCCUUGUAAAGACCAACUGAAUCUCAGGGUCAUGGGGUGUCUGUAAAAAGCAAAAAAAGAAAGGGUUCUGACCUCCCUUUGUCUCCUCAGCCUGUUCCUCAGACCCUUGUUGGCAUAAAAGAGUCCAUGAGAAAAGUAUCCUUGCAGAGUUUUAUUCUUAAAAGGCUUUGUACAAAAGCGACUGACCAACUGUACACACCAACACUAACUAACCAACCAACCAACCCAACACAGCACAGCCAACCCAACAACAAGCUAACAUUUCUCACUCUAUAUAUACAACUCAGUGCAGGCCGCUGACUCAUGCUGACCCAGCUUUAUUCGCAUUAAAGAAACAGCGGCCAUUUUAGCCGUGACAUGGGGAACCACAAGUAGCGAUCUUAGGUGAUCAGAUGGUCCUCAAGGCACUUUGGGCCCAAGUAGUUUUUAGCUUUGUGAAUUUACAUAAGAACCUUGAACCUGGCCUGAUACCAAAUUGGCAGGUCUAUCUCAGCAAUAGAGUAAUGUGUUGCCAGGAUCCUCGUCCUGUGAGCAGUCUGGCCACUGUAUUCUGCACUAGCUACAACUUCCAAAAUGGAAAGUAACUCCACAUAAAGCAUGUUACAGUAAUCAAGUCUUAUACGAUAGACAAAGAUUGCUUCAAUUGUUUGACAUUAAUAAUUAUAACCUGUGGCUUUAAAUGGUAAUAGGUUUACUUACUCACUUAUAAAGAUGUUUGGGACUGACUGACUUGCUCACUUGAGUGAAAAUCAAAAUUAUUAUGGAACUUCCAGACCACCUAGAAAGCUAAAAUUUGGUGUGCACAGAAUUCCAGGCACUUACUGGAAUUAUCUGCACUAGAGUCUUACAUUUGCUGUAGAUUUUAGCCAUAUUCAUUAUUGCUGGAGUGAGACAAAAUCUACAAGGACCUUUUGACGUUUUCAUCCAAGUGUUCCACUGCUACUUUCCUUGGGGGCAGGACAAUUUUCCAGCUCAGAUUCAGAGCUGGAAAAAUGGGUGUGGGGAGGUGCAGAAGAAUAGGCUGAAGAAUAAAACAUUUGGUUAUAAAAGCUGCAUUGCAAGUAUAGAAAAUGUUUUCUUGCAGGCCCACCUAGUGCAUAAGCUUGCAACUGAUAUGUGACAUGUGGAGACUACUGGCUUGUGAGAGACCAAUCUCUCUCACACAAAGAGAGAUUAUUGUUGAUGAAAAAAUACAAAGAUGUUUAUUAUAGGAAGUACAUAACUUGAAUAGGAUAGAGGUUCUAGUUCUAAGCUACUUUACUUAAGCUAGAGAAAACAAAGGCAGCCAUGCUUGACCCUUUGUUCUCAGGAGAAUAGCUCCAAGUUGACCUUCUGGCUUGAGGUCCAGUGUGUGAGAGAGGCAGAAGUUGGAGAGGAUGCCAGCUAAGAAUGUCAGAGCCCAUCCACACUUUUGUUUUCCCUGUGUGUUCUAGUAUUUGUUUCCAUCUAUUAUGACAGGUCUGAGAGGUUUCUUCUUCUUCUUCUUUUGCUCUGCUGCUUUUCCCAGGUAGGAAAACCCAAUGUUUACUGCUGAAUCAAAUCUUAUGAAAUCCAUGGAAAACCCAAAGGGAGUUUUGUUCCUCUUCCUAAAUUGCUCCCAAAAUAGCUCCUGAACAGGUUUCCUUGUUCUUUCUGGGGAGUGGUGUUUGGGGUAGUCUGCUCCCACUCUUCUUAUUUCCCCGCCUACCCCUCAAGCAUCAUUUUUCAGUUGUCUCUCUUGUUUCUGAGCAUCUGCAUUGAAGUUCUGCAUGCUUACUGGGGGGAAUCUGUUUAGCACUCAUGUAGAAUUUUUGAUUCUAUGGUACAUGCGCAAAACACGUAUAUUUCUUCUGAAUUUUAUACUCAUCUGUUUUCAGUUUAUAUGUCACAGGUUUCUUUUUCUGUUUUCCUUGCCCUACCUUUUAAACUUUAAUAAGUAUUGAUAGUGGAAAUGUUUCAGCUCCUUUGUAUGUUGAACAUCAAAGCACAAAACCAGGGGAGGAUUCCACUUCCUUGCAGAAAAUUGGGGGCCAAAUCUGCAGGUGGCAAAGUCCUCUUCCCCAUUGUAUCCUAUCAUGUAAUUCUUUGGGGUGUGUGUAUGUCCAGGUGCUUCUUAUACAUUCCACAGCCCCACUUGCAAUGUACAGUGGUACCUCAGGUUACAUAUGCUUCAGGUUACAUACGCUUCAGGUUACAGACUCUGCUAACCCAGAAAUAGUACCUCGGGUUAAGAACUUUGCUUCAGGAUGAGAACAGAAAUCGUGCUCCAGCGGUGCAGCAGCAGCAGGAGGCCCCAUUAGCUAAAGUGGUGCUUCAGGUUAAGAACAGUUUCAGGUUAAGAACGGACCUUUGGAACGAAUUAAGUACUUAACCCGAGGUACCACUGUACAUUGUUGGUUGUUUGCAAGGGUGGGGAGAGAAAAGAACUGAAAAGCAACUUUUGCUUUAUUUCUUAUCUUUAUUCCUUUUUUUUUACUUGUAUUGUGUAGACUCUUCCACAGGUGUCCAAAAAAUAUUAUGUUAUUCAAUUCAACUCUAGGAUCAAGGCUUCCAUUACAGUUGUAGGAGAAAAGGGUUUUCCUUAGACAAGCUGUCAUUAACUGUAGAAAUCCACCCCUCAUGUGCAGUUGACCUGCACUGAUACCUGAAUGAAUCUGGUAUGUUCUGCAAACUUUGUGAACAAGUUGACAUUCCUGAGCAAUAAGCUCUACCACAGAAUGAUGGCCCCUCCCCUUUCCCUUUGGGGUUAUUCCCAGGCGGUUUAUUUUUCUAUUUACCAGAUGCUUUACACCCACAAACCACACAGGAAGCCUGCUGAGGACUGUUAGACCAGGGGCUAGCAAAGCCAGUGGAAAUGACACACUACCCUUAACAGCGGCUGUAACCCACAGUUCCUGUGCUUGCUGGUCAUUCUUCCUUGACUCAGUCCUCUCCCUCUUGCUUCUGGUUGAGUCCUAGAGGGCUACAUCAGACAUGGCAACAGCUGCCCUCUGGAUGGAGCCCUAGUGCCACAGCUUAAGCGAAAGGGCUGCAGCUCUGUGGUAGAGCAUCUGCUUUGCAGGCAAAAAGUUCCAGGUUCAGUUCCCUGACAUCCAGAUCAAGGGCAGGGGAACUUUAUCACCCCAAGGGCAACCUUCUGAGAGCCACAUGCCACUGGUAGGUGGGGCCAGAGGCAAAAAUGAAUGGUGCAAUUAAUGUAAAUGUUACCUUUGUACAGCAGACUAGUUUCUAUGCUACCAUUACAAAAACACCAGAAACCAUGAUUUUUUUAUUGACUUGCCUAAGAUCCAGGACAAAGUGCCGCCUUUCAGAAAUCUCCCCGGAUGUUUUUCCGCCUUUGAAAUCCCGGUAAUGUUUGGGAAAAUCAGAACGUAUGGCAGCCUUAUCUAUGCAUACCCCUCUCUGUUCUCCAAUGCAGACAAGCAAUGGACAUGAUCAGAAUUCCAGCCAAGCAGGGGCGAAUGAAGGCGUCGUAACACCCGGGGUGGGGCAUCGCUACGUACAACGCAUGUGCUGUACGUAGUGACGCCGCACAUGCGCUGUACAUAGUGGUUUGCCGCCGGCGGUGCUCCAGCGCUGUACAGACAGUGCCGGGAUCCUUCCGUCGCCACUAUAGCCACGAACGGAGGAUCCUCUACAUGCAGCUGUAGCGGUGAUGGAGGGAUCCCACAUUUGACACUCCAGUACACAUGCAUGAACUAUCUCAAAUCUAAGGAUAGAACUUACGCAUUGCCUGAGAUGCAAUGCUUUUUGGUGGAGCCAUUUCAUGUACCAUGGUGCAUGCAUUGCUUUAUCUCUCUGUGCUUGAAAACUAGCAGGUAAAGUGCAUGCCAAUGGUGGGCAGGGCCAGAGGCAAAAGUGGGUGGAGCAAUGGAUGUGACUCUUACCUUUUGCACAGUAGGCUUCAUUCCAGCCAUGUACAGCCCAAACGUUUCGGCAAACUUCUCAGCAUGCACACAUCUCUCCAAUAGAUACAAGUAAGAGGCCUUAUUACAGCCCAACAUUCCAGCCAGACACUCAAGGACAGCAGGGAAUGUGGCCCUCCAGGCUUAUCUAUUUGGCCCUUCUCCAGGUGAGACUCCCUGUGCCUAGGUCACAAAGCCCUCCUGGCACUAUUCCAUGUCUUCUUUGUCUGUCUGGGAUGUGUCUAUGAACUGUGAUAAGACUUCUUGCUUGCCUGGAUGAAGAUACAUGAAGAUACGGUUUGGAUUCUUAGAUCACGGACUGCAGUUUCUUGAAGAUGGACUUCUGGCAAGCGAUGGGCUGCACCUCACAACGGUUGGGAGAAAUGUUUUUGCCAAAAAUCUCAGAAACCUCAUCAGGAGGGCUUUAAACUGACUAAUGUGGGGGAGGAAGACAGUGCUCCUGAAGGUAGGAGUCUAUCAAUUGAUGAAGAUGAUCAUCCAAAUGUCAUAGACCAAAUGGAGCAAACAGCACACAGACCUAGUGGUGGGAGGAAAAAAUCCUUAAAUAAGAGUCACGGGG